rnacentral:lncRNA from 1 species
UUUUUUUUUUUGGUGGGAAACCUAACGCGCGACGAAGAUUUUCCCGUUAUAUCUUUGCGCAACAAAGGCUUUAUCGCUCAAAGCUUGUUUUAUCUUUGCGCGACAAAGGCUUCAUCGCGCAAAGCUUGUUCAUUUUCUUGGGCAGAACAUUCAACGCUUAGGAAACCGAGGAACACUUGCGUGACAAAGGCUUUGUCACGCAAGUUACAGUCAGUUUUCAGUCAGAGCAUUCAGUGCAUGUGAAUCAACAGAAUCUGAAAGUAUUUAGUGAGGUCUUUGCGUGACAAAGCCUUCGUCGUACAAGGGCCCUAUCCUUCCUAUAAAUAUGCGCUUCUGCUCUCCCUUUUCUUCACAAUUAUGUUCUCCUUAUUCUUCACAAUUCUAUUCGUGCUAAAAUGGAGGAUAAAAACAAGGAUGAUAACGUGACCGACACCGCCCCGAAUGAUUUGAUGCAACAUUUUCAGUUCAUGCAUGCGAUUGAUGUAGCCAUGGGGAACAAUUGUCCUACUGCUGAGUGACGUUCCUGGAAAUAUGAGCUGGAGAAUGCAAAAAAGGUGGUGAUGGAUGAAUUGUUAGUAAGUAUAUUGUUGAUGGAUCAAUAAUUAAUUUUGUGAAAUUUUUUGUUAUAUGUUAGAAUUAAUUAUUUGCAUAUAUGUGUAACAGUGUAAGUAUACUCUUGAUGAUGAUACGAACGAAUAGUUGAUGAAGUUGAUGGAGGAUGCAUUGGAGGGAGGUUACAAUAAGUGGCGUUAUGAAGUCUAGCGGAAUGGAGGACCAUCGAAAUAGUAGUUUUAAAUUUAUGUUUUGUAUGACAAUAUUUAAAUCUAAGGUACUUUUUAUAAGUUAUGUAUUUGGACUUAAUUAUGUUUUAAUUGAUGUUUGGUUAUUUAAAUAAUUGAAUGGAGUAUAAUAUCAAUUUAUUUAAGGUAUUAAUUGAAUGAAAUAUAAAACUAAUUUAUUUAAGGUAUUAAUUGAAUGGAAUAUAAUAUAAUUUAUUUAAGGUAUUAAUGAUUUAGUGUAUUAAGCGAAUGGAAUAUAAUAUCAAUUCAUUUAAGAUAUUAAUUAUUUAAUGUAUUAAUUGAAUGGAAUAUAAUAUCAAUUUAUUUAAGGUAGUAAUUAUUUUUAGAAUACAUAUUGUAACUGAAAAUUAGUUGGUAAUUAUAUAGUUUACGUAAACAUAGAUAUCUAUGUUUACGUAAACUUUAUAAUUACAAUAGGUUCGUCGCUAAAACCUUUGCGCGACAAAGAUGUCGUUGUGCAAACUCUUGCGCGACAAAGAUGUCGUUGUGCAAACUCUUGCGCAACAAAGGUUUUGUUGCGCAAGGGCGUUUAGUUAUAGUCAACAUAUUUGGUGCAUCUGAAUCAGAGAAAUAAAUACCAUAUUUACUGCAUGUGUUUGCGCGCCAAACUUUCAUCAAGCAAAGUCCCUAACCUUCCUAUAAAUAUGUGCUUCUGUUGUUCUUAUUCUUCACAAUUAGUUUCGAUAACGCUUUGCAAUUCUGACAAUUAUAAUUAGUUCGUUCUUUGAGUGUUGGUACGAUGGCCAACAAAGAUGCACGUUCAUCAAAGGCAAUAGAUCGAGAAGGUUCUGGAAACGGUUUGCAUUGAAAUUUUUGCAUUUUUUAUAAAGUUUUUAUUUAGCUUAGGUAUUAUGAACCUAUUUUUUGUUGAUAGACAAGAAGAAAGAAGCUGCGGUAUGGGUCCGACACACAUAUGGGGGGAGCCAUUACCGAAUCACUACGGACGAAAUAAUAGGGGUUGUGAAGUCAGAUAAGCGCGUCAACUUUUCGUCUGAUGUAGGAGCAAUGGUGCGUACCAAAUGUGCUGCGGAUUGGGAGUCUUGGAGAGCCAUCCCCGAAGAGCUGAAGAUGUACAUGAUUGAUGAAUUAGCUAUAUGUGCUAAUUUCAUUAGUUAAAUAGUAAUUAUGCUUGUUAAAUAUAAUAUAAUAGUGAGAUUUUAAUUUAUUAAUUUUUGCAUGACAUGCCAAUUAGAACAUUGACAAAAAUGACCCAAAUCUGAUGAAGGCUAUCUACAAUGUGUUCAAGUCGAGAUUCCGGGAGUGCAAGUUUGAUAAUGAACGCGCCGCAGCACUACAACAAGAACUAGAAGUACCGGCACAUGAGUAGAAUAGGAUUUUUUAUUUUAAUAUUAUUGCUUAUUUAAUAAUUAUAUAUGAAUUUUAAGUUUUUUUACUAUGAAAAUUUUUUAUUAGGGUUUAUUAUGAAUGAAAUUAAUGCAUUUUAAUAAGUAAGUAUAUUAAUUAAAUAUGCACAAAUGGUAUUAUUUAUUAAAUAUGUAUGUGGUUUGAAAAAAUUUAAAGAGUUAAUGGAAAAAUGUUGUCAAUAUCCCUUAAAAAAACACAUGCAAUGAAUCGUAGUUAUUCGCGCAAUGGGUUUAAAAACCCGGGAAGUCAAGGCGCGCAAAAAGUUGAAGACCACAUCAAUGUCAAAAAAAAAUUAAAAAAAAGCGCAACGAACUAUAGUUUGUCACGCAAUGGGUUCAAAAAUCCCUGGAAAUCGUAGUCGAAUGGCGCAAAAAAUGUGGAAGCCCAAGGUUUUGCGCGACGAUGGUUGCGUCGUGCAAAAGUUCUUCACUUUACUGAACUUAACCAGACUGCAGGAAGGCAGAAGUUGCAAAACAACUGUAGCAGCUGCCUUCCCCUAGUGCAAUUUCCAACAAUUUGAGGUAUAAUUUUUCUUAACUAAGUUAUCUAAUUUCCAUUCAUUUAAAUUGUGUUGUAUGUAGUUUAUAGGUGUUGUGAGUUUAUGUAUUUUUAUGCAAUCAUUUUUGUAUGGAUGUACAAAAAAUGGUUUGCAAUGUUCAUAUGAGCUUAGUUUCUCGUUUAAGAAUUAGUUGGAUUUCGCGAAUGGAUGCGAAAACAUGACUGCAAUCCAAUUAAUUCUUGAACAAAUUUUUGGACAGUUUGAGAUUGCACAUUUACAUGUUGUAGUUUGUGGUUCACGCAUUAGAAUUUGAACGUGGGAAAUGUGGUAGCAUCUCUUUACGUUCUUCGGGUGCUUCGUAGUUUUUUGUAUCUACAUCGUGCACUUGAAGAACUACAGGGAGAUGCUGCCGAAUUUUUCCCAUGCUCGAACUCUAAUGUGUUGGAACCGUAAAUUAUAGCACAUAACUGUGCAUUCUCAAAUGAGAUAGGACCCAUACCGGAGGCAUAAGAUGGCAUGUCAUAAUUGAAGUUGUUGUAACCCUUGUAAAUUUUUUUUGUUUGCAGGUGAAAUGGACAAACAAUGGAUACAUAAUCCUAACAGAUGUGCUGAUGAAUAUUUGGAUGGAAUAAAUCAGUUCAUCAAUUUUGCAAUUGCAAACAACCGCGGUUUAACUCAAAUUCGGUGUCUUUGUAAAAAGUGUAUCAACUUAAUGAUUGAAUAUUUUGAAACUAUUUGAUACCAUUUAGUGAGAAAUGGGAUGAUGGAAACAUAUACUACGUGGAAUCAUCAUGGAGAACAAAUACAACAUGCUUCAUCCUCCGACACCACCCGAGUAGUGGAUACAGUUGACUCUGUUGUGGAUCAAAAUGAUCAAAUUAUGGACAUUAUCAAUGAUGUUUUUCCAACCGUUAAUUCGAAUAUGAAUGUGGAAGUAGAAGAUGACAUCCCUCUCACCAUGGACAGUGAAGCAUUCGAAAAAUACGAAAAACUAUUAAAAAGUGCAAAGCAAGAAUUAUACCCCGGUUGCGAAGGAUUUUUUAUGCUCACGGCCAUUGUUGAGUUGAUGCAUAGAAAACCAAAGUUUCGUAUGUCGAACCAGUGUUUUGAUUACUUUUGGGGGGUUUUUAAGAGAAUGCUUCCAAAGGACAAUUGUCUUCCUAAAGAUCAUAAAAGUGAAAAGAAGGUGCUGAGUGGUCUUGAAUUGGGAUAUGAAAAAGUUCACGCAUGUAAAAAUAAUUACAUUUUGUUCUACAAAGAGAAUAAAGCGUUGGAUAAAUGUCAUGUAUGUAAUGAGUCGCGGUUUAAAAUGACAUCUCAGAAUAGAAGAAUGAAGAUUUCACAAAAAGUUUAUGUGUUAUCUCCCAUUAAAGCCCAGGUUGCAACGAUUGUAUAUGUCGACGCACAAUGCAAGCGACAUGAGGUGGCAUAAGGACAGACAGGUGGAUGACGAUGUUAUGAGACUUCCUGCAGAUGGAGAGGCCUGGAAAGAGUUUGAUCGGUUGUACCUCAAAUUUGCACGUUAGAUUGGGACUUACGACAAAUUUGCACGUUAGAUUGGGACUUACGACGAAUGGGUUUAAUCCGUUCGGGGUUCUAAACCAAUACCACAACACUUGGUCAAUCUUCGCAAUUUCGUAUAAUUUGCCGCCUUGGAAGUGCAUGAAAAAAGAAUUUAUGAUGAUGACGUUAUUAAUAACCAAAGAUCACGGCAUGUGUAUUGAUGUGUAUUUACAACCGUUGGUCGAUGAACUAAAAUAAUUAUGGGAAAACCGUGUUCUUAUGUACGAUAAAUCUACCAGGAAAAUGUUCACCUUGAGAGAAGCCGUGACGUGGACUAUAAACGAUUUUCCUUCGUACGCUAUGAUGUCUGGGUGGAGCACUAAGGGCUACUACGCAUACCCAGUUUGCAAAAAGAACACGACAUCUAGUUGGCACGCUGAAAAAGUUUGUUACCUAGGGUAUUGUAGGUGGUUACUGUGGGAUCACGAGUGGAGUCAAAAUGAGACAGCCUUCUUCAAUGGCACAUAGCUUAGGCCAAGACCCAGAGAAUGGUCUAGCGAAGAAAUUUUGGCUCAGGUGAAUCGGUUGGAUUUUGCUCCAUUGGGCAAGUCCAUAAAUAAGACAAGACCAGACACAUCUAAACUGGACACACAAGACAAGGUUGUUCAAGCUUCCGUACUGGUCCAAAUUAAAAUUAAGACACAACAUCAAUGUAAUGCAUGUUGAGAAAAAUGUGUUUGAUACAUUGGUCGGAACUAUACUGGACAUUGUGGGAAAAACAAAGGACACAAUAAAAGCUCAGAUCGAUCUAGAAGAAAUGGGCAUUAGACCAGGUCUAUAGAUGACGAGGGACAAAGAAAUAACCAGAAAUAAGCUUGCAUCGUUUUCGGUGAAAUCGGAAAAGAGGAAAGAGUUUUUGCAGUUUCUAUCUUCUGUAAAGUUUCCAGAUGGGUAUGCUUCAAACAUCAGCUGUUGUGCAAACGUGGAUGGAGGUAAAUUUUCUGGCCUCAAGAAUCAUAAUUGUCAUGUCAUACUUCAACGCCUUCUCCCAGUGGGAAUUCGACACCUCUUGCCCGAAGACGUGGUGAAGCCGAUUAUGUUGUUGGCGAGAUAUUUUUCUCAAUUAACUGCAAAAACUUUGUGGAAGUUCGAGGUUGAACAGUUGUGCAAAAAUAUUAUUGAAGUUCUAUGCAAGUUUGAACAAAUAUUCCUCCAGCUUUCUUCACAAGCAUGAUCCACAUGAUAAUUCACUUGUCGGAUGAGGCACUUCUAGCCGGAUCCGUCAACCAUCGAUGGAUGUAUUCGAUUGAAGGGUAUAUAAUCACCAUAAAUACUUUAGUUCAUGAUGCAUGUAUAAUUACACUAAUUUUACACGAUAAUUUGUUUAUUGAUGCAGACUACUGGGUGAAUUAAAAAAAAAGUGUACGGAAUAGGGCAAAACCCGAAGGAUCAAUCGUGGAGGCAUGGGUCGGCUUUGAGUCCCUUACAUUUUGUGCAAUGUACCUACAAGACGUUGAGACUAUGUUCAACCGACAACAGCGCAAUAAUGAUGGUGGUGUGAAAAGUGAAAAAAAUCUAUGUUUUUUCCUAAAUUGCACGACCAUGUGGCGAACCAAUCACAAGGGAGGCAUUUGACAAAAAGGACAUAGAGGUAGCAUAUUGGUUUGUACUUAACAAUGGUGACGAGAAAAUUACGUACCUAGAUGAGCAUGAAGGGUUGAUAAAGCGGGAACAUCCUUCACAUUUAUAUGCCAAAAAACAUCAUGAAUUGUUUCCUCGAUGGUUUCGUGAAAAUUUAUGUUGUUCGUGUUUGGGUUUUUUACAUAAUUGUAAAUGUUAAACUAACACGACAUCUUUUGCUCUUUUAUUUAGGUGAAGAAAUUGAAGAAAUUAAUUCGCCCGCUUACAAUGAAGAAUUGUACAACAUGACAAUUGGGCUAAGUGCAGAAUUGUACUCUUGUUGUCAUGUAAAUGGCAUCAAGUUUUUGGCAGCUGAUCGCAAUGACAAACUUUGUACACAAAAUAGUGGGGUAUAUGUACCAGGUGCGGGCGACAUUGCAGACAUUGAUUUCUAUGGAAAACUGACAAGUGUUGCGCAAUUGCUUUACAAAGACUUUUGUCAAGUUAUCCUCUUUAAGUGUCGCUGGUUUGAUACAAAUCCACGUCGGGUUGGAGGUGUUAAGCGAGAUGAUGGUUUGCUAUUGGUCAACAAUAACAGAUGUUGGUAUAACGACGACCCUUACAUUUUGGCAACGAUGGCUAAACAAAUUUUCUAUAUAAAUGACCCUAAGGUCGGGAGGGGAUGGAAAGUAGUUCAGAAGAUUGAGCACAUAGGGGUAUAUGAUAUUUGGGACCAAGAUCCUAUUGUCGAUGACGAUUAUGGUGAUGUUGCUGACCAACAAUUGGAGACUUCAAUGGCACUUGGUGCAGAUACAUUGUGGGAUAUGACUAUUGUACAAGAACCGUAUCAGGUAGCUGGAGGUCCUGAAAUCAAAAUACCAAUCGAUUCCAGUACGAUUGACCUCGGGGAUUUGCCGUGUUACAAUACACCCAAGCGCACGAACGACGAUGUUGAUGUGCCUAUAGACGAUGAGGAAUGGGAGUCUGAAUUUGACGAUAAUGAUGAUCAUCAUUCUAGUUCAGACGAGGAUUAAUGAAAAAUUGUGAUGUAUAUUAGUUAAACGUAUUGAAUGGUAUUUAAAAAUGUUGUAUUGAAAGGUAUUUAAAAAUGUUGUCAUCAAAAGUUUUACCUUACUAGUCAUCGGGUGGUGAAUAUGGUUGCUGGCGUUGGCUGCUUACUUCCUUUGUUGAGUAUUUUAUAAGCAAAUUUGUAUACUCUUUGUGCAUCUUUGUUAUGAAAUCAGAGAUUAGAUUUGUUAUUCAAUUGGGAAUUAUUUGCAAUUGUGCUUUUGUUGUAUGGCCCUUGUGUUUUAUUGGUGUUGACCUGGUAUAGGCUGACUAGAUGGAGGAUUGGUGAGGUACAUGAUGGUUAUGGCAAAGACGAUUUGUGUCACGUUAACAUAUGGUGUCUAAUUGGAUCAUCAUAUGAUUUGCUUGGGUUUUUUUGUCCACCUACUAGCAAUUUUUUUUUUAAGUUAUCUCAUGUAACAUUUUCUUCUAUCAAUAGAAGUUUUUGUUUGAAAAUAACAUAUCAUUACGAAGGUAUAAAAAAAAAAAUUGUCAUUUCAUCAAUUUGUCCUAAACGAUCUAAUCUUAUGUAAAUAUAUAUAUAUAUAUAUAUAUAUAUAUUCACAAUUUCAAUGGUUUAUCAUUUUCUGCGUCCAAUUUUCAGUCUUAUAAGCAAGUCCAGCAGUAGCAAAUGUCUGGUGGACCGGGGACCUUUUUAAUCCAAUUGCCUCCCUUCCUUACUCUAUUCCAUACGGGCGAUUGGGCAGAGGGGGGCCCAUGUGAAAGAGGAGGUGCGAAUCAAAGGCCCGAACGCUUGAGAUCCGGACGUCAGCCACAUUAUAAAAUUAAUAAAAAAAUGUAAAAAAUGAAUAAAAAUUCGAAAAAAAAUUUAAAAAAAAAAAUUGAUUUAAUUUUUCUAUAAAUAUCUUAUCAUUAUCUUCCGCCUUAGGCUAUCUCCAACCAAAGGGUCUAGAGGCCCGAAAAUAGCCUGAAAACCGUCUCCAACCGAGGAUUAGGCCAAAGGGCUCGUGUGCCCCAUAGAAUCUGAAAGGGUCAAAGGGCUGGCCAGAAAAUUAGAGCAAUCAUGUCGGUUAUAACCGACAGGAAUGCUUAAACAAAUAUUUGAAUCCAACGACGAGCUGACUAGUUGUUGUAUUCAAUUUUUUUUAAUGAAUUUAAACCUUUUUUUUCCUAUAAAUACAUAAGUCAUUCCUACACCAUUUCACAUAAUUUUCACCAUUGCAUACAAUCUCACUUCAUUCGAUUUUUUUUUUUCCUAUAACUUCUAUUUUACAAAAUUUGUUUCAUAUUUUUUUUAAUUCCAUUUUUUCCCUAUAACUUCUAUUUUACAAAAUUUGUUUCAUAUUUUUUUUGAAAUUUGUUUCAUAUUUUUUUUUAAACUCUAUUUUUUUUUCCUAUAACCUCUAUUUUACAAAAAAAAUUUCAUAUUUUUUUUUAAUUCCAUUUUUUUCCUAUAACUUCUAUUUUACAAAAUUUGUUUCAUAUUUUUUUUAAAUUCCAUUUUUUCCAACUACUAUUUUACAAAAUUUGUUUCAUAUUUUUUUUUUAAAUUCCAUUUUUUCCUGUAACUUCUAUUUUACAAAAUUUGUUCCAUAUUUUUUUUCGUAUAACUUCUAUUUUACAAAAUUUGUUUCAUAUUUUUUUGAAAUUCUAUUUUUUUUUCCUAUAACUUCCUAAGUCAUUAUACAACAUUAAAUUAAAUUAAGUAACAUGAAACAACAUUAAACAAUAUGAAACAACAUUAAAUAACAUUAAUGAACACAAAAAUUAUGUUUGGCCUUCGGUUGGAGACUGUUUUUUGUGACAGGGCUAAAACGAGCCCUAUGACCCUUUGGCCCUCGGUUGGAGAUGGAGGCAAAUAUGGCAUUGUACUGUUCAUUAAAAUAUUAAUUUCUUGAAGGGCCAAAUGGCUAAAACGGGCCAUCUGGCCAGCCCUCAGUUGGAGAUGGCCUUACACCACAAUUUUAUAGUUUUUCAAAUACUUUGGAUUGUAAUUUCUUAUUUAAUGACACGUGGCGCAACGAGACCGAUUAAAAAUUCUUUCUGAAAUUACAAAUAAAAUUAUUUAUUAUUAUUUUAUAAAAUAAAAAAAUACUAAUAUGUUAUUAUCUAUUGUCAUAGCUAUUCAGUUUAUGGAUAAAAAUGCAAAAGACAAUUAUUGUUCAUUAAAUGUAGUUACUAUUCAUUAGAGGGAAUUUAAUAAGCAGUUGCCCUGGGGCCUUCCAAUGGAAGUGCUCUUAAUAGCAAUAUCCGCUCUAGAUGUUUACAAUCAUGGUUGUCAGUUGUCACCUUCGAAAAAAAAAAAGCUGUCAGUUGUCUAAGUAAAAAAUGAGAAAUGGCUUGCAGAAUAUUAAUAACGGGAAAUGUUGAUGUGUUAUUAGAGUGGAAGAAGUAUGAAAACCUACCCUAAAAUACUUAAAAGAUGCGCCUAAAAUCGAGGACCGUUUCAUAUUCACCACAGAAAUUGUUGCGUCCUUUAGCCACUCAAAAUUUUGAAUGUAUGCCUUUGCAUAUAUAGCAGCAUCUCGCAUAACAAAGACCUUUAGACAUGCUCUGUCCAGCUCAUUUAUGACAUCUUGAUGUUUGGUUUUCUCAAACCAGCACCAGCAUGUUAUCCACAAUGAAAAAUAUGAUUUGUAAACUCACGCACUCCUUAAUAUCUAUCAUCUCAUUAAGAACAAAUGAUUUUUUUGUUGCAGUAAUUAUAUACACCAGAACCGCAAUCAUACAUAAUAUCAUAAAGAGCGCAUUCUACACACAAAUAUGAUCCAAGGACUACCCAUCAGUCAAACUUAUUUUCAGCGAGUCCAAAGUCCAUCUUAUUGUUUGAGAAGGAAGCCUAUUAGACCAUCACGACCAAAUUGUUCAUGCACAAAAUAGGUUCGAAGAGUUUCAUCGGGGACUUUUCAGCUUAAAUAAUAACUAUAUUGUCAACAACAAAAAUUGUUAAUUUGUUGUUUGGUAUUUUUCACAUUGACCACAUUUCCCUAUUGAGAACAAACAGCUUUUCAACAGGGGUUCCUGCUUUAUGCACUCUUUUCGCUAGAAGAAAAUCCUUGACGAAGGAGGGUUCAAAACCACCCUGCAUGGAUUUUGUAUGUUGAGAGGCAUCAAAAGUCAAGCCUACGUUGUGCAAGUCACAAUCAUUGUAUUUGUUUUGUUACAACUCGUUAAAUAUCAUACUUCGACACAAAUACGGAAAAUAAUGUUAGUUUAGAAUUCACAUCAUUUGUUCUACUUAUUUUAUAACAUGUAAAGUAUCAUUGGAAUACCCGGCCUUCAAAAUCUCUCACAUACUGUAAAUAGCUAUUAGUCAGUGUAACAAGGAAAAAAAUAGGAAAAAAAAAAAGUUGCCUGCUGGUUGUGGAUUGGUGUUGUUUAAACGAAAAUUCAACAUGGAGAAGUUUCGUUAGACCGGAUAAUAUCUUAUGCCUUUGCCGCCAUAUCUCCAAUUCCAUUUCUUCCCAAAACUCAUACCCUUAGAUAUAUAUGAUAUGCUACACCAUUGACGAUAGAGUCAAUGUUACCGGCAUUGGGAUUCUAUCAUUUCUAGUUCAAUUAGUUUAGUUUAGCUUCCUCAAGAAUUUCACAAACAACUUGCACACUAGCGCAUAACUCGAAUUCUUAAUGGCAGAAGUAAGGUCUCCACAGUUUUUACAAUAUAUAGAUGCAUGCAAACUUCCUCAAAACUUCAGGCUUGGCCAAGGCUACUUGUCACUUUCUUUAACACCCCGGCAAACAUUACUUAAAUUUAAUAAUUUUUUCAGUAAAUAAAGAGAAAUGCAUGCUUCACAUCGUGUCGAAACGCAUGAUUCUCCUUGUGUCGAAAUGCAUGUUUCUCCUCGUGUCGAAAUGCAUGUUUCUCCUCGUGUCGAAAUGCAUGCAAAAGAUCUGAAUCCCUUUAUAAAGUUCAGUUAUAUUCCUUUCUUUUCUUCUUUCUGUUUUUUUUUUUUGGGUUUCCUUGGUUAAAACUCUCGUUUCCUUCUAUAAAGUUCAGUUAUGCUCUUCAUGCAGCAUGCAUGCUGUGAAGAAUGGAAUCACAUUUUUUUACGUGUGUCGACAUGCAUGCUUCUCCAUGUGUUGCCGGCUAGGGUUUGAGGAGUGUAUGUGGCUUUGGGUUGGGGUGGGUGGGGCUGCGGAUGGUGUGUUGGGAUACUUUCUGUAAAAAUAAAAAACAAAUUCUGAUUUUAAUUACUUGCGCAUGCCUAAUCAAAAGUUCUGCUUUGUCUCGAGAAUACAUGCAUAGCACUUUAGGGGAAAAUGCUAAAACAUUCGAGAGAAAAUCGUAUUCCCAAAUCAGUUAACACAGAUAAAUAACAUGUACCUACGCAUACAGGAUAGGUUAAUAACAUAUACCUACUAUAUACCUAACCACAUAAGAUAGAAUAAUAUCAUAUUUAUACCUAAGCAUACAAGAAAAACAAACGCAUUUGGCGGAUUGAACUUGUAGCUAGGGAUGGCAUUUCAUUCGUACAAACCAAUUUGGGCAAGAUUUAAAUAUAGAUAUUGAGUAUGGGGACGGAUUAUCGGGAAACUGAAAAUUUUCCAAGCCGUUUGGGAUAUGGUUAUGCGAAUAGGGAUACUGUACCAGUAACCAUCACGUUUCUAUAUUUUCUAAAAUUUUAUAUGAAUGUAUAAUUUUAUAUAUUUUAGUCAUAACUUUUCUUUAACCAUUUUUUCUUUUUCUUUAAUUACGAGAAAAUAACAUUUUUUAUUGGUGAAAUCGAUAAACCCAUUAACCUCUACGGGAUCCAUAACCUUUGCGUGUGGUUAUGGAGAUUACCCUAUGGUUAACAUAUAGUUAUGGUUGUGAGUAAUUUUUGCAGUUACAAGGAUGGAAAUGACACAUCUGUCUCCAUUCCGAACGUUGUCAUUCCUAUAUUGGAGUAUAUUCUACCUAUUUACGUACAACCUACUUAUAUUAGAAGUGGUUAGCAAGGUGUUCAAAUAGUUGCCCUCUUACACAAUAAAUCAGUCUCUUGUCACAAGUGCAUAUGUGUGACAAUUGUUUUUGUAUGAAUUAAUAUAUAUUUUUAUUUUAAUUUAGAAACUGAUUUAUAUUGUUUAUUAAAAAAGAAAAUAAAGCAGCCCAUGAAACCAACUGCGUGGGUUUUUUUAAAUUUCUAUUUAACCUAUUCUGAUUCAAUUGUGAUUUUUGGAGUUCUAAGUUAGGGCCGGAAAUUUUUUUUUAUAUUUUGAAUGUUUCAUCAAAUUGUGUCUCUCUUUAUAUAUAUAGAAAUUUAAAGUCUAAAAUAAAGAAAAUAAAAAUAAUCAAUAUCCAAAAACAAUAAAAGUACAUGUAAUUGCAAUCUUCAGGUUGCAAUAAAAAAAAGUUCGGAAAUCAUGUUGGUAAUUUCAAUUCUAGGGUCGUUAACUUUUGGCUAAUUAUGAUUAGCUUACACAUUAUAAUUCACUAAAGUCAAUGACUUUUCAAUUUAAAAUUUAAAAGUCUACUUAUAAUUUUUGUCAAGUGAAGAUACAAGACGUAUUAGUUGUGAAGAAAUUAAUCCUCCCAAUUCUCACAAAACUAUAAUAGGGAUUGGAAAGAAUAAAAGAUGAGUUUUAGACUAUAAUCUUAUGUAAGAUUGAAAUCCAAAUUUUAUCUAUAUAGUUAAUCAUCUCAUUUAUUAAUUAUAUUUUGAUGUUUUAUUUCUUUUUUUCUUCCUAAUUUUACAUUUAAAUUUUAUUUCAUUCAUCACAAUAUAUUUUUUUGUAGGCAUUUAGGUAAACUAAUUUUCUUAUAUAAUAUAUUCUUAUACAAUCUGUAUCUUCUUCAUUUAGGUAUAUUAAUUCAUUUGAUAUAUUUUGGUCCAUCAUCAUCACGAAUAUACUUAGGUACAUUAGUUCAAGGUUUUUUAGCCAAAAUGGUCCCUGAGAUUUGCAUAACACAUAACUUUGGAUCCUGAAAUUUAAAAUCAAUAGAAGUGAUCUCUGAGAUUGUCCACCAUCCAUUAUUUUGGUCUUUCCAUUAAAAAACUCCGUUAAGUGGUCCCUGAGCUUUUUAAUGGAAUGACCAAAAUGAUGGAUGGUGGAUAAUCUCAGGGACCAAAGUUAUGUAUUAUGCAAAUCUCAGGGACCAAAAUUAUGUGUUAUGCAAAUCUCAGGGACCAAGUUAUGUGUUAUACCCUCAACUUAACAGAGUUUUUUAACGGAAUGACCAAAAUAAUGGAUGGUGGACAAUCUCAGGGACCACUUAUAUUGAUUUUAAAUCUCAGGAUCCAAAGUUAUGUGUUAUGCAAAUCUCAGGGACCAUUUUGACUAAAAAGCCUUAGUUCAAUAUAUUACAUUCUAGUACAUACAUUUUGAUACACACAUUUCGAUAUUUACAUUUAGGUACAUUAGUUCAAAUAACACAUUUCGGUAUUGACAUUUAAGUAUAUUUAUUUAAUAUAAUACAUUUCGGUACAUACAUUCAUGUUCAUUAUAAUAUAUUUAGAUACAAACAUUUAGGUACAAAAGUUUUGGUACAAAGAAAUCAAUUUAAUAUAUUUUUGUACACUUAUGUAUUUACAUAUUUCUGUGUCACUAAUUUCUUUUAAUAUCUUCUCAUUUACGUUCAUUUAUAAUUGAAAGAACUAAUAUGUGCAUAUUAAUUAAAUUGAAAUUUUAACGUGGAGACAUUAAAAAAUACACUUUAAAUAAAAAAUAGAAUAUAAAUUUUAAUAAAACUGCAUUUCAAAGGAUUAAAUUGAGUAUAUACUCUAACACCAAUUUAUUUAGUUUUUAUCUUUUUGAAGAACUAAUUAAUGUUCAAAAACCCCAUCCAAUAUCUAACUUCACCUGAACAAUGUGCAACUGGACAUCCAACUUUUCAGCAAAUCUAGUGAAUAUUUUUUCAAUGUCAAAUAAACAACAAAGGAAACCAAAAAACCUAAACUUAACUUGAAAAUUGUCAUCACAUUGAGGUGAUGAAUUAAGAAAGUAACUUCAUGAGCAUGCAUGGUUAUUUCUACCUUGAAAACUGUUAACAUUAAUUUUGGCAAAGAUGUUGCUAGCUUAAUUUGUAACAAAAAAAAGAGAUAAAUGUUGCUUGCUUUAUCUGAUGAGAACACUCAUGAAUAUGGUCAAACAUUUCUUACCCCUUAAAUUCUUGUAGUGCAUGCGCAUGCUAUAUAUAGUGGAAUGCGGUCCCGAUUGGAUUUACAGUAUAAAGAUGUCAUUUAUUUAUUUUGUCUGAAAAGAAGAAAAAAGUCUGCUAUAUCGAAUAAAGAUAGAAAAUAAACAAAUAAAUAAAUGCUUUCACGUGUACUACGUAGUCCCUCUAUCUAUAUAAACCCCAUGCAAUAUGCAGGCAAGAACCAACCUAGUUAUCUCGACCAUCAAAAACCCUUGUAAAUUAUGGCAAUGCAGUUAGGCUCUUUGCUCGUAUGUGUGGUACUACUCACUGGCUUUUCAUUGACAAAUAGCAAAGCUGAAACUACAUAUCCACCCGUCCAUUGUGACAUUCUCAACCGUAGCAGUUUUGAACCAGGGUUUAUAUUUGGUACAGCUUCAUCUGCUUACCAGGUCAGUAUGUUGGUGCUUUAACUCAUUAUAAUUUUUUGUUUAUUCGGAGUUUCAUAUAAUACUGAGGUUUAGAUUAAUUUCAAUGUCAGAAACAAUUAGUAUAUAUCAUAUUGACAUCUUCAUUUUGAAUGUAAUUUCAUAUAUGCAUGUACAUUUCAGGUAGAAGGUGCAUGGAAGGAAGGUGGUAGAGGACCAAGCAUAUGGGACACCUUCACCCACAACCAUCCAGGUUUCUGUAUUCUGUUCAUUUACUAGUGACAUGGUAUGAUUUCCACCAACUGUAUGCUUUAAGUAGUAAAACAUUUCUAUGUUUAAUUACAGAAAAAAUUAUGGAUGGCAGCAAUGGAGAUGUCGCUAUUGAUCAAUACCACCGUUAUAAGGUUGCAAAAUCACGGAAUUUUAUUCCCCACCAAAGUUUGGAUCCUUGGGAUCUUUAAUAAUUUAGCUUCUUUCAUAAAAUUAUGUAUAUUUUUGUGUCAUUACAGGAAGAUGUGAGGAUUAUGAAGGAUAUGGGAAUGGAUGCUUAUAGAUUUUCUAUUUCAUGGUCAAGAGUUUUACCAAGUAAAGUUGAUCAUCGACAUCCAUAUAUAUUCGAUUUGAGACCAGUCACUUUAUAGUUUAACUUGUUCUUAACUUAAUUUCUAUUAAUUUAUUUAGAUGCAUAUUUGAUUGUUUAGUUGUAAUUGCUAGAUGGAACGUUGUCUGGGGGUGUUAACACGAAGGGAAUUGAAUACUACAACAAUCUCAUCGAUGAACUCCUAGACAAUGGUGAUACAACUGUCUGAUCUCAUACAUUAUCCAAUUAAUUAAUAAAUAAUAAGUGUUUACAUGCACUCACAAAACAUCACCUAAUAAUCUAACUUUUCAUUUUCUUCUAUUGAUAAUUAUGCUAUAUAUAUAUAUAUAUAUAUAGGUCUAAAGCCAUUUGUGACAAUCUUUCACUGGGAUGUUCCCCAAACUUUAGAAGAUGAAUAUGGUGGUUUCUUAAGCUCUCGAAUUGUGUAAGUGAACAAAAUCUAUCCUACGUAUAAUGUUGAUAAUUUAUUUUAAACAAAUCAUACAAAUUAAUUAACAAAUGAUUACGCUUGUGAAAUGUGUAUGCAUAUAGCGAUCACUUUAAGGACUAUGCAGAAUUAUGUUUUAAGUAUUUUGGCGAUCGAGUAAAACAUUGGAUCACAGUGAACGAGCCAUAUACAUUUACUACAAAUGGUUAUGCAACUGGAAAACACGCACCAGGACGAUGCUCUGCAUGGCAAAACUUAAACUGCACUGAUGGAAAUUCGGCUACUGAGCCAUAUUUGGUGACACACCACCAACUCCUUGCUCAUGGAGCUGCUGUAAAACUGUACAAGGAUAAAUAUCAGGUCCAGUUGAUUAAAUUUCUUUUGUUAGUCCUAACUGAUAAUUUAUACGAGUCAGUACUAUUAAGUUACAAUAUAAUAGGAAAACAAUUUGUAUAGUAAGAUAUACAAAGUUUGUACCUUUUAUAGCUCUAAAUCAACAAAUGUUCUUGAUUUUCUUUUAUAGGAAUGCCAAAAUGGUGUCAUAGGAAUAACGUUGGUGUCACCUUGGUUUGAACCCUCUUCGAAGGCAAAGCAUGAUAUAGAUGCUGCAUUUCGAUCUUUGGAUUUUGUGUUUGGAUGGCAAGUGUAUUUAUUAAUAUAUUCAUAUUUUUUAUCAGCAUAUUUAUAUUUGUUUUGUUUUUAUGAUUAUAACAUUGAUUAGCUGCUAGUAGUACUCUAUAUAAUAUUUAGAAGUUCAUUCUUGGAAUUUCCAUAUUUUUUUUAGGUAUAUGGACCCAUUGACGAAUGGUGACUAUCCACACAGCAUGCGGAGUCUUGUUAAAGAACGAUUGCCAAAAUUUACAGACGAAGAAUCAAAGUUAAUAAAUGGGUCAUUUGAUUUUAUUGGAGUAAAUUACUAUACUGCUAGAUAUGCGAGCAAAUUACUUCAAAAUUCUUCUGAACCUGCAAGCUACUUAUCAGAUCCUUGUGUUAAUAUUACAGGUGAUUACAAAUUGAAAACCUUUUUGACCAAUUAAUUAAGGUCUCUUAAAAGAUUAAUUUAGAUUCUAAUGUUGAUCAUAUUUAUAUAAUGUGUUGUGGCAGCUGAGCGUAAUAAUAAGUCGAUUGGUCUGCAGGUACACAUCAACUUAUUAGCUUAAGCUAUUAAAAUUUAGAGGAUUUAUUAAUAAAUUGAUUUUCCACCCAAAAUAUUAUAACAGUUAUUUUUUUCUAUGAUGUUGCAGGCUGGUUCAGACUGGUUAUAUGUUUACCCAAAAGGAAUUCACGAUCUGGUGGUCUAUACAAUGAAAAAGUAUAAUGACCCAUUCAUUUACAUUACUGAGAAUGGUAACUAUUACUUUUAAACAAUUAAUUACAUUUAUCAAAUUGUCACAUAUAUAAUGGCAUAAAAUACAAUUACUUGUUUUAAAAUCUAAAUUAUUAUGGCUAACUACGUAAUAUGAGUCGAGCCAAUUUCUCGAAAGAUUUUUCAAUGUAACCGGCAUACGAUAUGAUACACCACGUGUCACUAUACAAAUAAUGAAAUAUGUGUGUUAAAAAGUUAAUAACUUAAUAAAUGCAUUAUAUUGUAGGGAUUGAUGAGGUCAAUGAUCCCAACUUACCACUUGAGGAAGCCCUUAAUGAUAUCGCUAGAAUCGACUACUACCGCGAGCACCUCUGUUACCUUCGAGCAGCUAUCAAGUAAGUGUAUAUAUGUCACUCUUACAUUUUGGUUAAUCAUUAUAUUGAUAUCAACGCAAUUUAUUAUUCCUUCUUAUCUCUCUCUCUUUUUUUCUUUUUUUUGGUUGGAUGCAGGAAAGGUGUUAAAGUUAAAGGAUACUUUGCAUGGUCAGUGCUAGACAACUUUGAAUGGAAUGAUGGAUACACAGUUCGAUUUGGUAUCAAAUUUGUAGAUUACGAUCAUGGACUAAGGAGGUACUCAAAGAAAUCGACAUAUUGGUUCAAACGUUUCCUCAACAAAGCUGGAAGAAAUCUGAAUAUUGUGGACAGCAACGUCGUUGACACUAAAUUUGUGUAUGAAGUUUAAAUUUCAAAUGAUGAAUAAAGUAGAACUCCUCUAUUGGUUGUUCUACAAGUUUCUAGCUUUUAUAGUUUAGCACUUUGAGUUAGAAUAAGUUGCAACAAUUCAUUUCAUUAUCAGUUUGUUGAAUGUGUUGCUGGUGUGUGUCGUAUUUGUAUUGCCAUAUGGCUAGUACCCCUUUGUGGUUGAAUUUUAUAUGAAUGUAAUGUACUCUUUAUGAAAAUAAAUUAUUGUUGAGUGUUCAAUUAAACAGCCACUGAUAAUCAAUGGCCUUUGGCCUAUGGUACUCACCCACAGUGGCCUUUGACAAAAAAUUGCCACAGAUAAUUAAUCAAUGCCCUUAGGCCACAUUAUCUCUACUAGUGGUUCCUAAGCAAAAUAUACUACGACAUCUAAUUGUUUUAGCUUGUAAUAAAUUAUCUGUCAAUCUAUAAACUUAAAUUCUUUAUAAUCGCGCUUAUUAAUAAAAGAUUUAAAAAAUUAAGUGAGUAUAGUUAAUUUGAAUGUCAGAGAAUUUAAAAAAAAAAUUAAGUGAAAGAUUUCAAAUGACGGUAGAAUCCUUACAACUUUCAUAAGAUUUUUCAAGAAUUCUUAUGGACUUUGAUUAAAGACUUGAAUAGAAUUGAAGAGACUUUCUUAUUAUUUAAAAAAUUAUUUUUCAAAUUAAAAAUAAGAUAAAAAAAUAAAACUUGAAAAAUUUUAUGAAGACCACUUUUACCCGACCAACUUCUACCGUGAGCACCUCUUUUAUCUUCAAGCAUCUAUUACGUAAGUGUGUAUAUAUAUGUCACUCUUUCAUUUUGGUUAAUCAUUACAUUGAUGUGUAAGACCCUUAAUCAUAAUCACCAAGACCAAAACAUGAACUACAACUUAGAGAGAAAUAUUCAAUUUAUGUAUCUGAGAAACACAGCAAGAAUAACAUACCUGCACUUGUAGCAGAACCCGAAGCCAUAGCAGCAAACUUUCAAUGUACCUUCUCUUCUCUCGCAGGUUAUCAAGAGCUCGACUUAUAAAUAGGAUUAAGUCCAGAAUAUGAGCCUUACUCUGUGAGAAGAGAGGCCACUAUAUAUAUACAUAUAAUCUUUACCAUAACUGAUUAGGAUUCCCUAUCAAAAUCCAUGUAGGAAACAAAUUCUUGUCUCCUUGUUCUGAUCUUCAUGCUGUACAGAAUCCCUCUUCAUAAGGGAUUAGCAUUCCUUUUAUUAACAAGACUUUUCUAUCCAAUUGAACACAUAUAGCCGGUCCUAAAACUCCUCUAUCUCAUACUCACAUUCUUACAUUCUCCCACUUGAGUAUGAGAACAGCUUUAAGUACUCAGCCAAGUCAAUUAUGUGCAGAUAGAAGUGAUCACUAAUCUUGUUAAUAAAAUUUCAAUCACAACCAACUAUCAUACAUCUCAAAAUGCAGAACGCUUGUAACUGUAUUACCACAAUAAAGCAAACAGGUUUUCAAGAGUUACAGACAUUCAAUUUGUAUGCUCAACGUUGUGAAUUUGAUCAAUAUCAGCAAUAAGCAAAAUAAUUUGCUCCCACUAUUUCAAAUCAUUGUCAGCAAGAUGUGAAACAAAUCUUUGCUUCAAAACAAUGCAUGAAUCAACAAUUCAUCACUAAAUGCUUUAAACGGAGAAACCAUUAUAAAAGCAACAAAUGAAUUAUAUCAAACUUUAUUUUGUUCGAAACAAUAGAUCAUCAUAACUGAUCUCAAUUCGAUAAAAUAAACAAAACAAACUAACAAACCUAAUACUAUCCAGCCAUAAGAUUUUAAAUUUGAAAUUUGAAACCUGUCUAUAUCACCACACCAGCUCUCUGAACUUCACAGCAGCGAAUAAACAGUCAUAAUAAGACUAACGAAUUACUCCCACUGAUCAAAGGAUUCAAGUAUUCCCAUCCGAGAGACAUGCGUUUUAAAUACUCCAAUCGGCAAUGCUUUAGUCAAAGGAUCCGCAAUCAUUGCAUUUGUGCUUAAGUGCUCCACCUGAAUUGCUCCUUCUCUAACCUUUUCUCGGACCUUGAGGAAUUUUACAUCCAUCAGUCUUGAAGCUGAAGUUCUCUUAUUGUUCUUGCUAAAAAAUACUGCAGAAUUGUUAUCACAAUACAUCAUGAUAGGCCUCUGCACAGAAUUUACAACUUUCAAAUCUGUCACAAAGUUUUUCAACCAUACAGCUUGUUUCAUUCCUUCAAAACAAGCUAUAAAUUCUGCCUCCAUUGUCGAUGUUGCGAUGAUAGUCUGUUUUGCACUUUUCCAGGAGACUGCACCACCACUUAGCAUAAAGAUAUAACCUCCAGUAGAUUUCCUAUCAUCUACAUCACCGGCUAAAUCAGAAUCAGUGUAUCCAACUAACUCCAAUAGCUCAUUCCUGCCAUAAACCAACAUAUAGUUCUUGGUUCUUUGCAAGUAUCUCAAAACUUUCUUUGCUGCUACCCAAUGUGUCUUUCCUGGAUUUGCUUGAAACCUGCCCAACAUUCCAACUAUAAAAGCAAUGUCCGGUCUUGUGCAAAUAGUGGUAUACAUCAAACUUCCCACUAAUGAAGCAUAAGGCUUAUUCUUCAUUUUAUCUAUCUCCAUAGGCGUCUUAGGACAUUGAGCCUUUGAGAAUCUGUCUCCCUUGUUUACUGGCAUUUCACCAUUACUGCAGCUUGACAUAUUGAACCUCAUGAGUACCCUUUCUAUGUAUCUCUUUUGUGAUAAACCGAGUAAAUUUCUUGAUCUAUCUCGAACAAUUUCAAUACCAAGUACAUAGUGUGCUUCACCAAGGUCCUUCAUUUCAAAAUUCUUACUGAGCAUGGUCUUAGUGUCUUUGAGCAGCUUCAUGUUAGAACUGGCAAGAAGGAUGUCAUCGACAUAUAACACUAAAAAUAUAAAACUAGUGCCUGAAAACUUAACAUAGAUGCAAUCAUCUAAUUUGUUUUCCACAAAACCUUGUCCUGUAACUACUUGAUCAAACUUUAAGAACCAUUGUCUUGAUGCCUGUUUAAGCCCGUAGAUUGACUUGUUAAGUUUACAAACCAUGUCUGCUUUCCCCUUUUCAACGAAUCCAGGAGGCUGCUUCAUGUAAAUGUCUUCGGCCAGUUCACCAUUAAGAAAGGCAGUUUUGACAUCCAUUUGAUGCAGUUCCAGAUUGUAAUGAGCCACAAGUGCCAUGAUAACCCUCAUAGAAUCCUUGGAAGAGACGGGAGAAAAGGUGUCAUUGUAAUCCACCCCUUCCCUCUGAGUGAAUCCUUUGGCAACUAACCUUGCCUUGUACCGUUCAAUAUUGCCGUGAGCAUCUCUUUUGGUUUUAUAAACCCAUUUACACCCAAUAGCCUUGAAUUGAGGAUUGGAAUCCACUAAUGUCCAUACUGAGUUUUUUGACAUCGACUCCAAUUCCUCCUUCAUUGCACUGUGCCACAAUGAUUGUUAAGAACUAUUCAUGGCCUGAGAAUAAGUGAGAGGGUCAUCUAUAUCACCAAAACCAAACUCAUGCUCCUGCAAAUAAACAUAGUCAUUUGACAUUGUGGUUUUUCUGAUUCUUGAAAUUGUCUCAAUGGUAAUGACGGAUCAUGGAGAACUUCAGUGCUCGGAUUCAUAGGUGCAUCAUCAGUUGGAGUUGGAUCCCCUUGUUGCUGUGGUUGGGACCCAAGAUCAAUUUCCAUUCUGUCAAUAUCUUCUGGACAGUCUAAUUGUUCUUCCUCCAAUUCAAUCAUGGAAGCAUGAGUGAUCAACAUUUCUUUGUAAGAAUUAGUGCAAAAGGACUUCUCAUUUUGAUCAAUCUCUUAAAAAAUGAACCUACCCUGUGAUAAGUCUGCAAUAUCUUGAUCUUCAAAGAACCUAGCAUUGUGAGUUUCAUGAAUCCUGGUGUGAGCUUGAGGACAAUAAAACUUGAAGCCUUUAGAUUUCUCUGAGUAGCCAAUGAAAUAGCAUGAUUCUGUCCUUGAGUCCAAUUUCUUCUCAUUUGGAUUGUAAAUUCUAGCCUCAGCUUUACAUCCCCAAACAUGGAAAUGACUAAAACUGGGCUUCCUGCUAUUCCAGAUUUCAAAAGGUGUUGAUGAAACCGCUUUGCUCGGAACUCUGUUCAGUAUAUAAGUUGCUGUCUUCAAUGCUUCACCCCAUAGGAAUCCUGGUAACUUUGAUCUUGUCAUCAUGCUUCUUACCAUUCCAAUCAGAGUUCGAUUCCUCCUUUCUGAAACUCCGUUUUGCUGUGGUGUUCCUGGUGUAGUGUAUUGAGCAACAAUGCCUUGUUGUUCAAGAUAGAGCGCAAACGGACCCUUGUGUUGUCCAGCCUCACUGUACCUGCCAAAGUACUCUCCUCCUCUAUCCGAUCUAACAAUCUUAAUGGUCUUGCCUAAUUGUUUUUCUACCUCAGUUUUAUAAACUUUGAAAUAAUCAAGGACAGAUGAUUUCUCACUGAUUAAAUAAGUGUAACAAAACCUUGAAAAAUCAUCAAUAAAGUUGACAAAAUAAGAAUUACCGCAAAUAGUUUUGGUUGGAAAAGGACCGCAGAUGUCAGUGUGUAUAAUCUCUAGCAAAUUCUGACUCCUUUUGGCAUCUAACUUUCUAGAAUUAGUCAUCUUCCCUUUUGCACAAUCAACACACUCAAUUGCAGUAGCAAGAUUUAAUUCAGGGAUCAACUGAGCUUUGGACAAUUUUAAAACUCUUUCUUUGGAUAUGUGGCCUAACCUCUUGUGCCAAAGGAGGAAAGAAUCAUCACUGCAGUUCAUCCUCUUAGUGCUUAUGUUUAAAACAUGUUGAUUUGGGGAUUCCAAAGUACAAUUCAGACACCACAGAUUGUCACUCAAAAAUGCAGUUCCCAAAACACAAUCUAGGUGGUUCUUUUCAAAAAAUUUUAAACUUUCAUCAUCACCUAGAAAGGCAAAACCGUCUUUGACAAUUCUUGAAGCAGAGAUCAGAUUUCUCCUCAUUUUAGGCACAUAAAGCACAUCCUUUAGUUUUAGUGUAAAACCAGAAGACAAUUUUAAACACACCAUGCCUAUAGCUUCUACCGCAACUUUAGUACCUUCUCCCACAAAGACAUUAUAAUUUUUAAAACCAGUUUGUUUUGAUUUCACAAAACCCUCCAAAGAAUUUGAAAUGUGAACUGAGCAACCGGUGUCAAACCACCAAGAAUUCACAGGGAUUUCAAUCAAAUUAGACUCAACACAGACAUUGACAUUUUCUACACCCUUACUUUUAAGAUAGUCCUGAAAAACUUGACAAUCUUUUCUUAAGUGUCCUUUAGUUUUGCAGAAAAAACAUCUGAGUUUGGCAAUAUUUUUCGUUUUGACCAUAAGAUUGUUAGAUCCUUUAAUAGAGUCCUUUACUUUGGUAGAUGCAUUAGACUUAAAAGAGGUUACCUUGGUAUUGUUGUUCUUACCAGAGUGUCCAGAGAAUGAUUUGAAUUAUUUCUUCCCCUUGUCUGGUUGCACAAAAUGCACCGUUUCAGUUUCUUUCCCUCUUUCUUGCUUCUGUCUAGCCUCUUCUUGAACGCACUGUGCUAUUAGCUCAUCAACAUCCCAGUUCUUGUCUUGAGUGUUGUAAGACACCUUUAACUGACUAUAUUUGUUUGGAAGAGCUUGAAGGAUCAUAAAAACUAACUGUUUUUCACCAAUAUUAACAUCUAAAGAAUUUAAUUUCUCAGCUGCAUCAGUCAUUUUCAAGAUAUGGUCUCUGAUUGACCCUAUGCCCUCAAUCUUGUAUGUGGUCAGCAUUGCCAUAUAGUGACUGAUUUCUGCCUUCUGAGAUUCUUUGAACUUUCUUUCAAUUGCUUGUAAAUAAUCAAUAGCUAGUUCAUGCUUCUUGAUUCCACCGCGAACAGUAUCAGUCAUGGCACUUUCAAGUAUAGAAAGUGCCACUUUGUUUGCUCUGACCCAUCUCUCUGCAUCAGCUUUCUCAGCCCUUGUACUUUGAUCAGUCAGAAUCGGCUUGGGAGUUUCAAGGGCUAUGUCAAAGUCAUUGAGUGUCAAUAAGAGCCCAAUCUCACGUCUCCAUUUCUUGUAGUUGCUUCCCCCUAUGAGAACAGGAAUGUUUGCCAAGUUCAUAGUCCGGAACGAUAUUGCAGAUGAUGAACCUGCAAUGAAAUCACAAUUUGAACUUAUUAGUUCCUGAUUUCAUCUCAACAUCACCUUGCACAUCAUGACUAUAAUCACAGACCCAUAUAUAUAGUCUUAAUCAACAAUCUGUUGAUAAGCAUACAUAGAGUGGAAUGAUUAAGCAAGAACUUGAAAAACGAUCCGCUGAUAUCUGCCAUAUAUCCUUAGACACCAAAUGGUUUAAUGGUGUCUCAUACAUGUAAAAGGCAUUUUGAAAGUGAUCAAAGAAAGCACCGAAUGGUUAAUAAGGUAUGUAUCUCUACUUUAAAAGAUCAAAAUACAUAUGCAUAUGACUUACGUUGGCAGUUGAUGAACUGGGAAAGUAAACACAUUCAUCUUUACAUUUCACCAAAGGAUUCAAAGCAAUUAACAACAUACCUUUUAAUCUUUAUAACUCAAAUUCACGAAUCGGGCAGCGGAAGCGAUUUAGAAUUUGAAAAUAGAAGAUUUUAGUUUUGGAAAGGAAAAAACCCAGAUCGAUGUUUAUAGAAGAAAGCAUUGCUUUCUUCAAUUCUGGAAAACCUUCCCUCGAUAAUAACUUAAGGGUUCCUUUGACGGUUCAUUAUCACCAACGCUUCUUUUAUUUCCUCCAGAACCAGACUUCGAUUCUUCAUAAGAGUAAAAAAAAAAAAAAAAAAAUUUUUUUAUUUUUUUUAUUAUUUUUUUUUAAUAGUAACAUACAAAAUUUCUUCUUUACAGAUUGAAUUCAUGUUGAUAAGUCUUGUGGCUCUGAUACCACAUGUAAGACCCUUAAUCAUAAUCACCAAGACCAAAACAUGAACUACAACUUAGAGAGAAAUAUUCAAUUUAUGUAUCUGAGAAACACAACAAGAAUAACAUACCUGCACUUGUAGCAGAACCCGAAGCCAUAGCAGCAAACUUUCAGUGUACCUUCUCUUCUCUCGCAGGUUAUCAAGAGCUCGACUUAUAAAUAGGAUUAAGUCCAGAAUAUGAGCCUUACUCUGUGAGAAGAGAGGCCACUAUAUAUAUACAUAUAAUCUUUACCAUAACUGAUUAGGAUUCCCUAUCAAAAUCCAUGUAGGAAACAAAUUCUUGUCUCCUUGUUCUGAUCUUCAUGCUGUACAGAAUCCCUCUUCAUAAGGGAUUAGCAUUCCUUUUAUUAACAAACUUUUCUAUCCAAUUGAACACAUAUAGCCGGUCCUAAAACUCCUCUAUCUCAUACUCACAUUCUUACAUGAUGAUCAAUGCAUUUUAUUAUUCAUCUUCUCUCUCAAUUAUUUUUGUUGGAUGCAGGAAUGGUGUUAAAGUUAAGGAAUACUUUGCAUGGUCAGUGCUAGACAACUUUGAAUGGAUUGAUGGAUAGACAGUUCAAUUUGGUAUCGUAUUUGUAGAUUAAAAUGAUGGCCUAAAGAGGUACCAAAAGAAAUGGACAGCCUGAUUCAAACGUUUCCUCAAGAAAGCUGAAAGAAAUAUGAUAUUGUGGACGGAAAUAUUGUUAACACUAAGUUUGUAUAUGAAGUUUAAAUUUCAAAUGACGAAUAAAGUAGAACUCCUUCUUAACUACAUUGCAAAAGAUGAAAGAUUAAAUGGUACAGAAGGAGAUGAUAGAGAAACAAGAGAGAGAUUGAAAAGGAAAAAUGAAAGCUCUUAAAUUGAUUGAUAUCUCUGACACAAUAUUUAUAUACAAACACACUUGACAAUUUUAGCCGUGCUUUGCCCCGAUCGGAAAACCUCUUUUUCCGAUUUCCCUCUUAUCCUUCCCUCCAUUAUCUUUCUCCCUCCAUGCGUCCAAUUGCUUCUUCUUCUUCCCCUCCCACUUGGCUUUGGCCUUUCUCGAUUCCACCUGUGAUCCGAUCUACCGUUACUUUGUUCCGCCUUUUUUCACUCCUUCAUCAGAAGGUGAGUAGAGCUCAGGCUCGGGUGUUCACACCACCACCUUUCCCUUGUGUGUCGAUCUCGACACUGUUGCCAGUGGUCCCAUUGGUUUCCUUCUUGCGUUUAUUCCCUUGGUGGUGGCAGAUUGGUUCAUUGUGGUUUGAUCGAGGACAAUGACAGCUUCUCAUUUUGUGUUUGGGGCUUGGUUUGGUUUCUUCUCUAGCGGUUGCAAGGAGGCUGGUUUGUGGUCGUCGAGAAGUGCUUCGGCGGCAGCAUGAGAACUUGGCGGCUAGGGUUUGUUCAAUGUUUUCUAUUGUCGGCUCAACCCAUGGGUUGGCCCUUUGUAGUUGUUGUUUUGGAGGCCCAUGUAACGGGUUCCUUCUAAUUUUUCAGAUCGUCAGGUGGCGAUGUGGACGUGAUUUCGGGUUCAAUGGGUUUGAUGGGUUCGAGUUCAAUGGGGCCAAGUUGAACUUGCAAACCAACGACAUCUGCACACAACCCGCAUCCAUGCCACCACUCUGCCCAGGUCAGUUCUUGAUCUAUUGAAGCCAUGAAACCCACCCACGGAACCACGAAUUCAAUAACCCUAGCUUCCCCCGGCAGUAUCGAAUGUCUUGGCGACGAUCGUGAAUCUGGCCGCAAGGCUAGCCAAGAAAGCGGAGGCGCGCGCAAUCUUCAUGUUGGCGGCAGAUGAGAGGUCCCUGCACAACGUUGACGACUCGUUGAUGCUGCUCACUACUUUGUCUCCUUCUUGAGGAAGAGGGGGUACAUACAAUGAGUAAUUUUUUUACUCACGUCCCCCACUCAUGGUCCCCAGUACACCUUGAUUGAGGAAGCAAAAGCAAAUCAAAAGAGAAAAAACAACGGAUUUGGAUUCUCUUUGUAAAUUCCGGCGGCGGAGGUGCUGCUAGAGCUGCUGCUUCUAAGAAUGGUAAUACAGGAGGUGAGGAAAUUUGGCAUUUUGUGAUUUGAGAUAUUGAGGAACUUAAAUCAUUUUCAAAUAAGAUAGAAAGAUUACGGUGUAGUAAUAUUAUUAUUUCCCAACAAGUGAGAGAUCUUAGGUUCAUUCCUUGUCAAAAGUAAAUUCAAAUCACAUUAAUGCUAGCCAUGUGAGGAUAAGCCAUCCCCCUCCCUUCUUAGUGUAGAUAAUAUUGUUCAUUAAAAAAAAAAAAUUUGAAGGUAGGAAAAGCUUCAAUCGAUAUGUCAAUUCUACGUUGAUUGAUAUAUUAAUCUUUUGAUGUCAAAUUUAACAUAUAAAAAAAGGUGUUAUCAAUUAUUUUAUGGUGUGGGUCUCAUUAAUGCACCAAUUAUAAAUCUUGAAAAUUUAUUUUAAUAGAUUUCUUUUUAAAAAUGGAUCCUAUAAAUAUCAUUAUAACAACAAAAAACAUAUGGGUUGGAAAAUGAGAAAAUUUGACAUCAUCAUGUCAGUCAUCAAAUUAACAUUUGACAUUUAUCCUUUGACAUCUUCAUCGUAGAUGCUCUUAUUUUUAGAAUUUUUUUUUUACUAAUUUCAGUUUACUACCUUAAAGUUUAUUGGUUUUCAGCAUUUCAUGCAUAAAGUUUUUUUCGUCUCAGUUUAGUACCUAAAGUUAUAAUUCUUGGACACUCUCAUACAUUUGUUAAGUUUUUCUUCAAAACCUCCGUUAACUGAUGACGUGGCGCCCACGUGGAUAAUCUCAUGCCAUGUGGACAUUAAAAAAAUUUAAAUUAAAAACUAGGAAAAAUCUCAGUUCAUUAUCUUGAAGUUUCUUGAUUUUCAACAGAACUUCAUCGAUCUUAGCAUCGGAACUCCUCCACAGUGCCUUCUUCUCGUCACCUAUACCAGCAUUGAUCUCGUCUGGCUCACUUACUUCGUCUACACUGAUUGCUCUAACUACGAACCAAGGAAGAGGGCCCAUCUCGUUUUCCUAGAAAGUAAGUUUCCGGUUCGAGAACAAAUUCUAGUACCAGGAACUCGAUGUUUUCAAUCCCUUUAUUUUUUAGUUUUUAAUUUUUUUACUUUUUUUACUUUUUAAAUUUUAAAAUUUUAAAAUCUUUAAAUUUUUUAAUAUUCACAUGGGCCCUAGAUUGACACACGGUGCCCAGUUAUUAUACACUUGGGUGUCACAUCACAAGUUAAUUGUUGUUUUACAGAAAGCUUAACAGAUGUAUGAAAUUGUCCAAGAAUUAUCACUUUAGGUACCAAACUAAGAUGAAAAAAACUUGAUAUAUGAAAUGUUGAAAAUAAAGAACAUUCAUAGUAGUAAACUGAGAGUUACUCUAGUUUUUUGUUUUGGUGGUUUAAUUAUGAAAGCUGCAUUAUUUGCCAUAUAAGCUUGUCCAAGUGUAAGCCCUGGCGUUUCGUCCUUAACAUACUGGCCAGUAACGGCAAAGAUGGCUGCAAAACCAACGGUGGUAAUGAGAACACAGUGGCAGAGUUAUAGCAUUGUUUUUUUUUUAUUUGUCAAACGAUAUAUUUUGUUAGAUUAGCCAUCGAUAGAGUUCAAACUCAUAUCGUCAUGCAAUAACUCAACUCAUUUUCAUCACUGUAGUAAAAAGUCACUUGCAAGUUUAUAGCAUUGUUGAGUCCACUAAUGUUGAGCAAUAGGUAGCGUUUGAAAAAUAUGUGAUUUAAUUAUGUACUAUUUUUUGUUAAAAAAAAAAUAUGUACUAGCUAGAUACGUGUUAAGAAAAAUUAGAUUUGGAGACUUUUUUUGUUUUUUAGGUUUUUAAAUUUUUAAAUUUUUUAUUAUUCACGUGCCCAUAUUGACACGUGGUGCCCAGUUAUAAUCCACGUAGCCGCCAUGUCACAAGUUAACAGCGGCUUUAACAGAAAACUUAAUGGAUAUAUGAAAUUAUCCUAAAAUUAACACUCUAGGUACUAGACUAGGAUUAAAAAAAAAAAAAAACUUAUGUAUGAAACGUUGAAAAUCAAUAAACUUCAAGAUGGUAAACUAAGAAUUACCUACUUUUUAAGUUUUCCCUCUCCUUGACGUCUUUUUCUUCUCCAAUCCUUCUUCGAUCUUCACUCUCUCUCAAUUCUGCAAAUCUCUCAUUUUGUUCUUCCUGCACGACUACUGUCCUCGUCGAUCUCCCUCCAGUUGCAAGCCUUUCUCGAAGAUAACCAUCAGUAAUAAGGUAUUCAUCUAGGUAUUUUUAAGGGAUACUUUGGAUGAUGUCCCUAAUCCUUAACAUUCUUUGACUAAAACCUUAAAACUAUGUUUGAAUGAAGAAAUUUAAGAUUAUUAUGGAAUUUUAAAAUGAUGGAAAUUGAAAUGAAGGGAUUUUUUUUUCUAGAAUUUGUGAAUUUUGUUGUUUGGUUAACUUAAAAGAACAAUGGAAUUGAAAAGGAAUUUGUUAAUUUUAAACUCUCAAUCAUAGAAAUUGAGAAAUGACUUAUGUGGAAUUUAAACUUGGAAAUUGAAGGCCCCAAAUUCCAAGUUUUUUUUCCACGCGGAAAUUCUAAAUUUCUAUGUUAUAAAUCCAAAUAAGGAAUUGGUGAAUGUCAAUUUAUAAAUUUCAACUUUUAUCCAAAUUCCAAGUUUAUUUCCCUCAUCCAAACAUAGUGGUAUUCAAAGUUUGAUCAAAGUCCCUUGACUUUGUACACCUCAUUAUAUUACAAUUAAUAUUUAUAUUUUUAUAGUUUUGACAUUAAUUGUUUGAUAUUUUAUGAGAUUUAUAAUCUUAUAAAUUUAAAAUCCCUCAUUAUAAUACUAUUAGAAACAGUUACAAUAAAAAUUUUCAAACAUUUUGAUUGAAUAAAUGGAUAAAAACUAAGUAUAAAUAAUAAAUGGCAAAAGAAUGUAUCCAUAGUGUUAAAAAAAUUGGUACAUUUCACAUAUAACAAAGUGGUACAUUAAUAAAGAAGAAUGGGUACAUUAUAAAUAAAUUAGGGUACAUAUAAAAGAUUAAAAAAUUACAAGUACAAAUGAAUUUAAAAAAAAAAAUACAGGCGCUAAAAGAAAUUAAUACAUGGGUACAAAAUAAAACUAAAAAGAAAAUACUACAAAUUUAAAAAAUGUUGCAAAUUAAAAGUGGGUACAAACUAAAAUAUAAAUAUACGAUACAAAGUUUAGGCAUAAUACAUAAAUAUACCAUAUGUAAUUUUUCUAUCAUUGAUUAAAUAUACAAUGUCACAUGACAGCAUACACAUGAGUACAAACACAAAUAAAACUUUAAAAAAUAUGGGCACAAAAAGAAACUAAUAUAUGGGUACAAAUUAAAAAUGAAAAAAAAUUGGUACAAAUUAAAAAUAGGUACAAACUAAAAAUAAAAAUAUAUGAUAAAAAAAUUUAGCCAUAAAUAUAAAUAUACUAAUUGUAACAAUUUUAACACUAAAGGAAUAUAUUUAAAAAUAAAAAUCUUUUAUUAUUCAAAUAAUUAAUGAUGUUAUUAAUACCCAAGGACCUUGAUCAAAAAUUGAAAAUAAAUAGGAUUUUAAUCAAUGGAGUAGCAAAAAGAAGGAUGUGAACCUAAUUUCUCCUAUUUUUUAUUUUAUAUGUUUUUUUUCUCUCCAAUGUGAGAAUUAGUACUGGUUUGGUACUGAUGUGCUUUUAUAAAAAGUGGGUAUCAAAAAAGUUAAGCUCAAAAAUGUGUUUAGUAAACACUUAAAAACAACUUAUUUUCAUAGUUUUUUGUGAAAAAAAACUGAAAACGUGAAGCAGCAAAGAUGAGCUUAUUCUCACAGCACAAUAUUGAGCUUAAGUUUUAGGGUUAGGAACUUCGUAAUUGGAAAAUUUUAGAGAAAUCAAUUUUAGGGCUAGGAAUCUGGAAUUUAGGAACUGUUGCUUAUAACUGUUAAGUGAAUUUCUAUUUCAAUGUUUAAAGAAUCUUGAGGAGCGUUUACUUUAAGUUUUCGAUGUACUCGAGCAGCCUUUAUUUUAAUUUUACAGUAUUUACAUAUUUAGCAUAUGCAUAGUUGGGUUGAUGCAUAUGAAAACUGUCAUAUCCCGACCUGAGCCUCCACCACAUUUCGGGCUCGACCCUGUCAUAGCACGAUAUUGUCCGUUUUGGGUCCCGACCAUGCCCUCAUGGUUUUUUUUCUGGGAACUCACGCGAGAACUUCCUAGUGGAUCACCUAUCAUAGGAUUGCUCUCGCACAAACUCGCUUAACUUCGGAGUUCCGAUGGAAUCCGAAGUCAGUGAGCUCCCAAAAUGUCUCGUGUUAGGUAGAGAUGAGAAUAUACAUAUAAGGCUUAGAGGAUCCACUUCAAUGGCCGAUGUGGGAUGUUACAAUACACCCCCCUUAAGGGCCCAACGUCUUCAUCGGCACACUUCCGAUCAGGGAUUGGCUUUGAUACCAAAUUGUCACAUCCUGACCCGGGCCCCCACCACAUCCCGAGCUCGACUCCGCCUUCACAGUUUUGUUUCUGAGAACUCACACGAGAACUUCCUAGUGGGUCACCCAUCAUGGAAUUACUCUCACGCGUCGCUUAACUUCUGAGUUCCAACAGAACUCGAAGCCAGUGAGCUCUCAAAAAGCCUCGUGCUAGGUAGAGAUGAGAAUAUACAUAUAAGGCUUACAAUAUUCACUCCCCUGGAUGAUGUAGGAUGUUACAAAGAUUAUCCUAGAGGUAGAAGGAGCAAUUAGUGCCAAAUUCUAAAGAUGAAGCUCAUAUGGACUAAUUGUGAUCAAUUCUAUGAUUAUAAUGUCUGUUAAGGACUUUAGGACUAGUUUGCUAUUACUGUGUUUAAAAAUAAAAAAUUGCUUCUACUAUACUAUUAGAAUAAACAACUGUAAAAUAAAGUUGUUAACUGUUUGGUAAACUUUUUCUUUGUGAGAAUGCUUUUAAUAAAUAAAAAAAAAAGCAGUGUAUGACUGUUUGGUAAACUUUAUAUAAAUUGCUUUGAAUAUGUUAAAUGACUAAAAAGAAUAUAGUAUUUAAUGUGAAAUAAUAAUUGUCAAAGACAAUAAUGUAGGGGUAAAGAUUGUAAAUUUAUAAAACAUGUGGAGGUAUAUUUACCGUUUAAAAAUUUCAUUAAAUGAGCAUUGAUUACUAUGAUUUGAAAAGAAAAGAAAAAACAUUUUUUUAGAAGCAUGAUGAACUUUGCUUCUGUUUUUCUAUGUUUCUACUUGACAACUGUUUUUUUUUAAAGGAACUUUAACGAAAAGUUUCUGGUACUGUUCACUUUAACGAAAAACCACAUUUUACACUAAAAAGUCAAUUCUGGUACUAUUCACUUCACCUUUUAUUUUGUUCUUGUCAUUAAAACUCAAAGUUUUCAAACUCUUUUCAUGAGUUUUCUUUUGUUUUUUUAACAAUUUUUUUUGUUUUAUCAAACACAUUUAAUAUUCUAAAUUUUUUAAUAAGUUGCUUUAUUUGAAAAUACCACAAUCCCAAACAACCCUUAAUAGAUUCUUGAUUACUUGCUUUUUGUUAGUCAAUUAUUGCUAAUUUAUCAAAAAAUUAAAGCGAUAGAAAAACAGGUAUGAGCCAUUUUUGGUAAGUCACCCUCUUUUCUCUCAAGCCAAUCGCUUCUCAUACGUGAAUCCAUUUCUUUCUAUGCAUUCGUGGGAUUGUUAUAGUUGUUAAAGAAAUUCUUAUUGAUAUUACCUUUUCAUCAAAACUAAACUUUUUAAGGAAAACUAAUAAAAAUAAUUUAAAAACUUUGAGUUUUAACGAUAAGCACAAAAUAAAAGGUAAAAUGAAUAAUAUCAUGAUUGACUUUUUAGAGUAAAAAUGUGGUUUUUCGUUAAAGUAAACAGUAUUAGGAGCUUUUCGUUAAAGUUCCUAACUUUUUAUCAUCAUCGCGUAUGUCCCUUAAAUGGUUAGAGUUAAAUUUGUUCUACAAUUGAUGGUGAGAGGAGGUCUGAAAGCUUCUAUCAUGUUGGACUUCAUAAAUCAAAAUUUGUCUAUAUUCUUUGAGAAAUGCUAGCUACCUUCCCUAUUUAUCUUCUCUUUUGUGUCUUUCCUACUCAGUAUUUGACAUGUAUACUCUAUUCACCGAUAAAAUUCAAUAUUUAGAGGUGUGAUAUUCACACAUCCCUUUUUACUUCUCCCACAUUUUUUUAAUUUUUAACCGUUGGAUCGGAUGAAUUGAAGAAUAUCAACGGACAUAAAUUAACAAGGAGUGUGUAAGAAGUAAAAAAUUGUGUGUGGAUAGCACACCCUAAUAUUUAAUGCUAUGAAAGACAAAUAAUUUUCUUACCCUUACAAUAAAUCUUAACAAACUAAACUCCCUACCAUCUUCCCUAGCAAGCAACGGUCCUGCUCCAAAACAUGGUCAAAACUUGGUCUCCUAGCUUUUUCCUUAUCUUAACCCUCAACCACGAGAUAAUUACCUGUAAAAAGCCAAAAUAAUUUUCAAAACUUCAUUUUUGUUCUGCGUUACCGGUCUUUAUCUUCGAGAAAUUCUUUCACAACCACGAUUAGACUCGGUACAAAACUAGUAGAUUGAAGAUAAUUUUUUGUCACAGCGUUUAAGAGAAGAUCAGAAGUAGCCUUGGCCACGCCUGAACUUUUGAGGAAGUUUUGCAUGCAUGUAUGGCAUAAACUUUGUUGGUUACUGCUAAAAAGACCAUGGGAGGUCUCAGUUCCGCCGUUAAAAAAAAUUGAGAAUACAAAUAUGCAAAUGUUGUUGGAAGUUUUGAGACUCUUGUCCCACAUUGGUGAAAACAAAAUUCCAAAGUACCUUUAUAUACUUUUUGUCUUCUACAAUAUUAGUUAUGUGUUGGACCACUUGGAAUGGGAAUUGAGGCUUGGGCCACCAUUUCUGUGGAUUGGGCUUGAUGAUUAUACCAUAAUAUUAGUUUUAAUUUCGAAUUAAGUUUUUAAUUAAAUUAAUUAAAAACGUUUUGAUUAAAGAUACAACCUUUUGUAAAGAGUUGUAAAGCUUCAUAAAGGACUUGAACCUAGAAGAAGUAAAAGGACAAAAAUCCGAAAGGACUUUGGGCCUGAUUUUGUGACUUUAUUAACCGAGACAGAACCUCAAUCAUUCAAGGAGGCCAUGUCCACUCCUGAAGCUCCAUUUUGGAAGGAUGCAGUUAACAGUGAGAUAGAUUCCAUUAUGCAAAAUCAUACAUGGGAAUUAGUCGAUUUGCCCCCUGGCAAUAAGCCAAUUGGGUACAAAUGGAUCUUUAAGAAGAAAUUAAAACCAGAUGGUACAAUUGACACAUAUAAGGCUCGUUUGGUAGCUAAAGGAUACCGUCAAAAACAUGGUUUGGAUUUCUUUGAUACAUACUCACCUGUAACGAGAAUUACUUCAAUAAGAUUAUUGAUUGCUAUAGCUGCACUCCAUAACAUGGAAAUACAUCAAAUGGAUGUAAAAACUGCAUUCUUAAAUGGAAACUUAGAUGAGGAAAUAUAUAUGGAACAACCCGAGGGGUUUGUAGUUAAAGGUAAAGAACACAAAGUGUGUAAACUUGUGAAAUCGCUAUAUGGGCUUAAACAAGCUCCAAAGCAAUGGCAUGAAAAAUUUGACCAUGUUCUGAUCACACACGGUUUUAAGAUAAAUGAGUGUGAUAAGUGUGUCUACACAAAAACUCAAAAUAAUGCUUGCGUUAUGUUGUGUUUAUAUGUAGAUGAUAUGUUUAUAAUGGGAACUAACAAAGAGAUAAUACAUUGGACCAAGAAGAUAUUGAAAUCAAGUUCCGAUAUGAAAGAUCUUGGUCUAGCUGAUGUGAUUCUUGGUAUAAAAAUCAAAAGAAACCAAGAAGGUUAUAUUCUUACGCAAUCCCAUUAUAUAGAAGCAACACUUAGAAAGUAUGGUCAUUUGGAAAGUAAAGAUGAAAUUACUCCUUAUGAUGCCAAUAGCAAACUAAAGAAAAAUAGUGGUGAUGCUAUAUCUCAACGUGAAUAUUCACAAGUCAUUGGAAGCCUUAUGUGCAUUAUGAAUUGUACAAGGCCUGAUAUAGCUUACUCAGUAAGUAGACUAAGUAGAUAUACAUGCAAUCCUGGGCAUGAUCAUUGGGAAGCUUUAAUUCGAGUAUUGAGAUACUUAAAGCAUACAAUAAAUUAUGGAUUGCAUUAUACAAGGUAUCAUCCUGUGCUUGAAGGAUUUACUGAUGCGAAUUGGAUAUCGGAUAGCAGUGAUACGAAAUCCACAAGUGGAUAUGUAUUUACUUUAGGAGGAGCAGCAAUAUCUUGGAAAUCCUCCAAACAAACGUGCAUAGCCUGAUCAACAAUGGAAUCGGAAUUUAUAGCCCUCGAUAUGGCUGGAGGAGAAGCUGAAUGGCUAAGAGAUUUUUUGGAAGAUGUUCCCAUAUGGCCUAAACUUGUAACGGCAAUAUGUAUACACUGUGAUAGUUUAGCUGCACAAUAUCGAGCUAAAAGUAGUGUAUACAAUGGGAAGUCUAGACAAAUUAGACGAAGACAUAAUACAAUAAAGCAAUGGCUCUCUAGUGGUGUAAUUUCUAUUGACUAUGUCAAGUCAAAAGAUAAUAUUGCGGAUCCGCUUACUAAAGGCUUAUCUAGAGAACAAGUUAAGCAUACAUCGAGGGGAAUGGGUUUAAAGCCAAUAGAGUAAAAUGAAACUGCCAAAUGGAAACCUAACCUAGUUGAUUGGAGAUCCCAUGGUCUAGGUUCAAUAGGCUAACUGGUUUGGCUAGAUUCAAGAAGAAACACACUUACAUACCCAUUCCUAUGAUGGAAGAAGUGUGGUGACUGCUGAUGAGUAUAGGAUACAUUAGUUUAAUGAUAUUGAUACUUGUAAGUCAAGUGGAAUAGUAGCAGCCUAUUCUUAAUCAAUAUCACCUAUAUGAGAGAAAAUGUGGGGUCGCAUUUAUGAGAAUUAUAUGGCUACAUUCUCUAAAGCUCUCAUGAAUCCAGGAUUUGUUCAGGACCAAAAUGAACACAAACGUAUGAAUUUGCGAUGUGUUGGUGUGGCAUAUGUUUUGCUUAUUGUCUUGGUUUACUGCGGAGAUGAACAGUUCAAGAUUUUAUAUUCACUGCGUCAUCUAGUAAAUCCGAUAAGUAUAUACUAAGGUAGGUUCAAGUCCAAAAGACACCUUUCCUGAUGUAUGUCACAUCUAUUGUUUACUCUCGUAUCUUAGUUUCUCUAAGACUAAAUAGUCGUCUCAAAAUGUGGGGUAUUGUUGGAAGUUUUGAGACUCUUGUCCCACAUUGGUGAAAACAAGAUUCCAAAGUACCUUUAUAUACUUUUUGUCUUCUACAAUAUUAGUUAUUUGUUGGACCACUUGGAAUGGGAAUUGAGGCUUGGGCCACCAUUUCUGUGGAUUGGGCUUGAUGAUUAUACCAUAAUAUUAAUAUUAAUUAAUAUUAAUUAAUCAAGACAAGGGCCUUGGGGCACUUGGGGCCUAAGAAUUAAAAUUAAUCUGAUCAAUUAGUUUUAAUUUCGAAUUAAGUUUUUAAUUAAAUUAAUUAAAAACGUUUUGAUUAAAGAUACAACAUUUUGUAAAGAGUUGUAAAGCUUCAGAUACAUCCAAAAGGUAUUUGAAGAGGUAUGAAAGAGCCUAUAUAACUGGAGUCCUCAGUUCAUCAUCAAUCAACCUUUCUUCUUCCUUUUCUUCCGUACAAACUUUCUAGAGAGAGUAAACACACAAAGCAAUUCGCUAGAAUUCUAUAAUCCAGUGCGGGUUGUAGGAUUAGGUAGUUGUAUCCUGGUCGAGCAGACGUUGUAGAACCACAAGCACAAGAGUGGGACGGAAUUACUGUUCGAAUGACAUAGCUUUUACGCUAGCCUCUACCUUCUGUAAUCAAGUUAGUACUUUUGAUAUUCUCAUAUUUAAUUUUCUGUAGUUGUUGUGUAUCAUUCUGUAUUGCAAGUAUUUUUGAGUAAUAAAGUAUAAAUAUUUCAAGUUCUGUAUUUCUGUUAUUUCUGUUUCUAAAUUGUUCUCCAACAAAUGUUAGGUGCCUAAGUAGUUUUGAGAUUUGUGUACGUUGGAGGAAACUAAACUAAACUUAUUAAAACAUAAAAAGAUGAUUCCAAUGUCAGUUUGUUUGGAUCCAAUUUUACACUAUCAACCUGCGUAUUUUAAGUCGGUGAAUAGAAGAAGAUCAGGGGCAUAGCAUGAAGAUUCAAUUAAAAUUUAUGCAAAAAAAAAAGGAAAAUCAAAAGAAGACAUGUUGAUAUGAUCAUAUUAUUAUUAAUGAUCAUUUAUAUGCCAAAAUGGUCAUUAAGUUGACAUAACUUCUCAGUUUAGUCUCUGACAAAGAAAAUAGAUAAAUCCUGAUAUUCCUCCCCCCACUGCCUCAAACGAACAAUCAGAAUUAGCAUGCCCAAUUCUCCUGCAUCUAUAACAGAAGUCCUGCAGUCUCUCAUAUCGGAAUUCUAUCCAAGUCUCUGUAUUAUUUUCCCUUGGGAUCCAACAUCCAGUAGUGAAGGGCUUAGUGGUGUCAACCUCCACUUUAAUCCUUAAGAACCCCUUUACCAUAGACAGGUCUUCAAUCUCCUCCACCUUCCCAAGCUUAGCUGCCAAACACCUCAAAUUUGUUUCUGUACUACGAUUGGGUGGUAGGCCCCGAAUUUGGAUCCAGAACGGAACCUCAUUCAUAUUCACUUCCUCCAAAGCUAGCUCCUGGGGCCAACGCUUGACAGAGAAAUUAUGUUUCAUGACCCCCCAAGGGACCUGCUACAGUAUCUUUUUUGCCGUGCUUUCAUCUUGGACUGUAAUAAUAAACGUAUUUUCCUUAACCCAUUUUACCUCUGUUUCCCCAAGCUCAUUCCAAGCUGAUCUGAGCACAUUUCGUAUUCCCCAUUUAUUAAGAGUUUUGUUAGCCAAAACAGUACCCACCAGCUUGAUUCCUUGCUCCAUUGAAGAGAUCUCCAAUUUGUUAUUCAGUUGCACUACGAGCUCGUCAACCUCACCCCCAGACAUCACAAUCGAUAGGUACAACAUUGAAACUAAUCUCCAAAUAAUUUCAACCUGGCCUUCUACCUUUUUAUCUCUCUCUUUCACCUUCCACUCUAUCCAAAUUUUCUAUGUAUGCCCCAGAUCCUUUCGAGAUUGAGACCCGCCAAAGAUACUAUUCCCCCCAGGUAGCCCCCAUUUACUCUCCUCUCACAAAUAACCCAAGUCACAAAACAAAUGAAAAGGAAAGACCAAUAUUCAAGCGCUUUCUCACCUGUGUUAGGCUUAGAGGAGUUAUUCGUGGGACCCUCCUUAUGGAUUAGAAUCGGCACAUCUUCUCGAUCUGGCAUGUCACAAUUAAUAGUGGUAGGUUUUAGGUUGUUUCCCAUCUGAAUUUCCUUCCAACCUUCGAACCCAAAGUCUAGAACUGACCUGCCACAGACUGGAUCUCAAGGGGAAACAGCAAAAUUAAAACAAACCUUUGCAGGGUAAGGAAUAACUGACGAUGAUUUGACUAAAGAGAGCCGCGGAAAAUCAAUAUCAGAGCAAGGAAGCCAGAGGAGUUAAUGAGGGGGCGGAAUAAGAAUAAACGAGAGGGAAGAAGUAGUUGGGGGACUUUAUUAGGGAAAGAGAAGGUUCAGUCGAGCAAGUCAAGCCAAGAAGGAAAACCCACACUGAGGAGGGACUCUCACUCAGGAGAGAGGAGCUCUCACGGCCGAGAGAAUGGUAGAGAGCAUUUUCCAGUUUGUGGAGUUUUUUUUUUUUCCAGUAAGGGUUUUCUCAGAACCUUCGUCUGUUAUGAUAUGAGAAAGACGAAAUGCUGGUACUAGCAGAGUGGGGCAUAGCACAAGGAGGGAGACAUAAGGGGAAUAAUGAAAGAAGACAGAGGGUACCACAAGUCUCGGGGAAGGGGGUCUCAAGUCCUCCAACAUCCCAACAGGAAAUCAGUGUUAGUGCAAAGAAAUGGCAUAGAUUGCAAGAAAAAAGGCUGGGUCCUUUUCCAAACCCGGCCCAAUGGUUCACGGAGAAUAUAGGCUUGAUAGGCCAAAAUAGAUUAAUACCGGGUCUUGAUCGUACUACCUUCGGUAAAGGCCCAUCCAUUGUAAUAGAAGAAAUCCUGGAGACGAAUGUUUCUCAGCUUGAGGGUGGGACGUUGGCCGGUAUCCAUAGAGGUAAGGAGUUAGACCAAAGGGGGGAUGACCAUAGCAGAAGAAACAAGCGGGUGAUGAAUGACAAUACUCUCAAAUCGGCACAAGUUCCCCAGAAGAGAUGCAAGUUGAUGAUUGAGGACCGAAAUGUUAUAGAGAGAAAAGGAAGAACGGCAGAAGAUAUAGGAAGAAUGACGAUCAAAGAAAGAUGUUCGAUGAUGAUGAGAGCUCUGGACGCUGAAGAGGAGUUACAGGAGGUUCUGAUUGAGUACCAGGAUAUGUGGGAUUAUAUGGAGAAUGUCUCGGCGAAAGAAAAAGAAGCGUUGUUGGCCAAGAAAAAAGAAAAGUCUUCCAGAGUCAGUGGCGGCUGGCCUUCAACAGCCGCACGAUCGCCAUAACGCACCUAUUUUAGAACUGUCGUGGCCUAGGGUCGGACACGGUGGUUCGUGCCCUUCAUGGGCUAAUUAGGGAACAUCGACCCUCUAUGAUCUUUCUGUCAGAAACAAAAAUGAAAGAUCAUAGGAUUGAAAGAGUAAGAAGAAGGAUGGGAUAUCUGAAUGGCUUUAAUGUAGCUCAUGUUGGGAGUGCGGGAGGUCUAAGCCUCUAGUGGGACGAUACAAUAUGUGUUGAGGUGAAAAAGUCAUCUAAGCAUUUCAUUGAUGCUAAAUAUUAUAUUGGUGAGUCUGGGUCUGGGUUUCGUUUCACUGGAGCUUAUGGUACAUCAUACAGGGCGGAGAAAAAAAGCUUCUGAAGGGAUAUGAUCUAUAAAUUCAAUCCUGAUAAUGAUCAUUGGUUAUGUGGAGGCGAUUUCAACGAAUUUAUAUGGGAUCACGAGAAAGCAGGAGGUGCGGAAGUGAGAUACAAUAGGCCGCGAUAUUUGGAGGAGUUCAUGAGUAAAACGAAGAUUAUGGAUGUGGGUUUUAAUGGGCCUAAAUUUACAUGGAGGGGGAUGCGAAAUGGGCAAAUGGUUGAGGCGAGGUUGGACAGAGCUCCGAUGAAUGAAAAAUGGCAAUCUUUGUGGCCUAAUACUUCGGCAGUGAUAGGCACUUGUGUGGGUUCAGACCAUUGUCCAGUUGUGAUGAAAUGCAAGUUGCAUGGGGAUGAAAGAAGUAAAAGAUUGUUUCGUUUUGAGGCUUUUUGGACAAAAGAAGGGGAAUGCAAAGAUAUUGUGGAGGAGGACUGGGGUAGGCAUAAGGAUGGGAUGCCUAUUGAAAGAUGGAAUUGGAGGAUAAAUGACUGUCGAAACAAACUCUGGAGGUAGAGCAAGGAAAAAUUCAAAAAGCGUGGGAGAUAGUUGAAGGAGAAAUUAGAGCUUCUUGGCCGGUUGCAACUCAACUGGAGAGAGUAUGAAGAAGAAAUUAAAGAUCUUUCCAAAGAAGUUGGACCAUUUGUGGAGACAAGAAGAAUGUUUUUUGUUACAACGGUCAAGAGUGCAAUGGCUGAAGGAGGGGGAUGCAAAUACUAGAUUUUUCCACCAAUCGACAAUACAAAGAAGAAGAAGAAACAAGGUGAUUACUUUGAAGAAUGGGAACGGAGAAUGGGUGGAUGAUCCGAGAUUGAUUAGGAGAGUGGUUGAUGAGCAUUUUGUGGACCUGUUCACAUCAGUGGGACAGCGGGAUUGGGGAGAUGUUCUCGGCCGCAUUUCCCCGAAGGUAACAAUGGCGAUGAACGAGGUCCUUUCUGGGCCGGUUUCAGUUGAUGAGGUUAAGUCUGCUACUUUGGAAAUGGGGGGGCUAAGGCUCCAGGACCGGAUGGUUUUUCUGGAAUUUUCUACCACAAACACUGGGACAUCCUAGCUGUGGACGUAAAUGAGAUGGUUGGGGUUUUGAUGAAUGGUCAGGAGGAUCCAAGAAGAUUAAAUGCAACUCAUUUGGUGUUGAUUCCAAAGGUCCAAAAUCCGGAAUUGGUCUCCCAAUUUAGGCCAAUUAGCUUGUGCAACUACUCUUACAAAGUUCUGUCGAAGGUUUUGGCAAAAAGGCUCAAAGCUUUUCUUCCGGAAUUGAUUUCACCAACUCAGAAUGCUUUUGUGGCUGGCUGGCAGAUUCAAGACAACAUUGGAGUUGCUCACAAACUUUUCCAUUUCCUAAAAAAUAGGAAAGCAAGAUGCAAUUGGGAGUUAGGGGUUAAGUUGGAUAUGCAUAAGGCCUAUGAUCGUGUGGAAUGAGACUUUCUGAUGGCAGUGAUGGAGAAGAUGGGGUUUGACAGAAAAUGGAGGAAUAUGAUUCUCGGGUGUAUUUCGUCAGUCAACUUUGCUAUUCUCUUGAAUAGGCAACCUAGUAAAAAGUUUGCUCCUUCCAGGGGUUUAAGGCAGGGAGAUCCACUCUCCCCAUACUUGUUCUUGCUGGUUAGUGAAGUCUUCUCCCUUCUUAUUCAAAAGUAUAGUGAUCUUGGUCACCUAAGAGGAAUUCAAAUGAGUUCUCCUGGCCCUACCAUCUCCCAUAUCUUUUUUGCCGAUGAUACACUCAUUUUUCUGAGGGCGGAUGUGGAAAACUGUUAACAGUUAUCCAAAGUGAUUGAUGAUUUUUGCUUGGCUUCUGGGCAGAAAGUUAAUAAAUCCAAGUCAAGUAUUUUCUUUGGAUGUAAUGUUCCGAGGCAUCUGUCCACUCAAUUGGCGUCUACCCUUGGCAUGGAAAUAGUGGAGGAUCCUGGUUCUUACCUGGGAGUUCCUGCUAUCUGGAGCCGCUCUAAGAAAACCGGUCUUGCUUAUAUCAAGGGGAGAUUAUUGGAGAAACUGUAAGGAUGGAAGAAAGCUUUUCUGUCUCAAGCGAGGAGGGAGGUUCUCAUUAAAACUGUGGCUCAAGCUAUUCCGGCUUAUCCGAUGAAUCUUUUCAAAUUUCCAGCCUCGUUCUACAAGGAGUUAGAUGUCGUGAUUUUGAACUUUUGGUGGGGACAAAAGGAGGGAGAGCGCCGAAUUCAUUGGAUUGCUAAAGAAAAAUUGAGGUGGGCGAAAGAGAAAGGUGGUUUGGGUCUAAGAAGCUUCGAAGUGUAUAAUGAUGCUCUGUUGGCAAAACAAUGUUGGAGGUUAGUCGAAGACCCAAACUCGUUAUGGGCUUUGGUGUUAAAGGCUAGAUACUUCCCUAAUUAUUCUUUCCUUGAGGCAAAAAAAGGCGGGAGAGCUUCUUGGGCUUGGUCAAGCCUUCUGAAGGGAAGAGAUAUUUUAUUAAAUGGAGCUCAUUGGCAGAUAAUGAAUGGCAAGGAGAUUAAAGUGUGGGGGGAUCGUUGGGUUCCAGCUCUCCCAUUGGGUAGGCCUACUCAUUUGGGGUCGGUCCAUGUUUCCCGAAACUUGAGGGUGGAGUCUCUGAUUAAUCCGGUGACUAGGGUUUGGGAUGUUGAUUUUUUAAAACCUUUUCUUGAGCAACCCGAGUUAGAGGCCAUAUUGGACUUGCAUAUUGGUGAUUCCUCGAGAAGUGAUCGUUUGAUUUGGCCGUUUGAGAAAAAAGGGAAGUUCUCGGUUAAGUCGGGAUAUCACUGGGCUAUUGAUAGAUACCUCUCCCCUCCCAACUGUUCUUUAUCCCUCAUCCCUACUUGCUUCUGGAAGUUGGUUUGGAGCUUAAAAACUCCCCCAAAAAUAAGAAGCUUUAUGUGGAAGACUCUCCAUGGGGCACUUGCAACAAUGGAAAAUCUCGCACAAAGGAGAUCGGCCCAGUCCCCACUUUGUCCAAUUUGUCAAUUACAAGAGGAAACAAUCGAACACAUCUUUCUGCAGUGUCCCUGGGUAAGUGUUAUCUGGCGUGGAGGUUGUUUCAGUUUGAGGGUGGGUAUUUCGGCUACAGUGUCGUGGGCUCAUUGGCUGCUGCAGGUGUUUACUUCGGUGAAGGGCUUAAAGGAUGUGAGUCUAAAGAUGUUUUCAUAUAUUGCUUUUACAUGCUGGAAUAUCUGGAAGUCUAGAUGUAAUUUGCUCUUCAACAACCACCAGAUUAAUCCAAGGCAGGUGAUCUUUGCCUCUUCCCUCUCGGCUUCUUCUUACACUGCUGCUCAUCUAGCUCUGUCGCCCGAGCCUAGCACGGGUCAACAUGAGUCUAGGGUUGGAAUUAGGUGGAGUCCACCGAACAUGGGCAGUGUGAAAAUAAAUGUGGAUGCUAGUUAGAAUCUCAAGAGCAAGUCGGGCUUCAUUGAGGUGGUGGCGCGGUGUGAGGAGGGUCGGUUCCUGGCGGCAGAAAGGUAUAGUGGGAAGGCGUCUAGUGCAGAUAUGAUGAAGGCUCUGGCUAUUCUGAAUUGGUGUAGAUUUGGAAAAAGUAGGGGAUGGAGCUCCGUUAUUAUUAAAUCUGAUUCAUUGGAAUCAAUUUCUUGUCUAAAGGAUAUGGCAAGGAAUGGCAGUUGGGAUGCCUUUCCUAUCUUGGUGAAAUGUUGCAGCUUAGGUAAGGAUUUUCCUGACUGCCGCUGGUCUUGGGUUCCAAGAUCGGCCAAUUCAGCGGCGGACUAUUUAGCGUCGAGUAAGUGUAGGGAAGCUUGUGAUCAGAUUUGGGUCAAUAGACCCCCAUCUUCCCUUGUUCAUGUUCUAUGUAAUGACGGCCUUCCAUGCCCCCCUUAGCUGUCCUUUUGGGUUAUGCGAUGUGGGACGCUUUAGCAUUAGAUGCGGCGUAGUGGUAUUGUUGUGAACCACUCGUAUUACUUUCUUUGCUGUUAUUGGUGUCUUGCCUCUAGGUAGGCUUCCUUCCUUGUAUUUGCUUGCCAUCUUUGCCUUUUAAUGUUACCAGGUUCCCAAAAAAAAAAAAAAUAGAUAAAUAGGUCCUUGGAUUUGUCCAAUGUCAAUCAUUUUGAUCAUUCCAUAAAAAAUUUGUCAAUAUCCUCGUUAAAUUGUCACGUGAAAGACCACGUAAUCACCUUUCAAGGGUAUUUUUGUCAAACCAACUCUUUAGUUAGCAACAAUGUUGAGAAAAAUUUCACGAAAUCACUACUAUGAAACUAUUUAUUAGUGUCGCUAUGAUAACUUACAAAAAACGUAUAUUACUGUCAAAUAUGAAGAAAAAUCCGACAAAAAAUAAAUGCAGUGGCGAAUAUAAUAAGCGACAGAAUUGUCAGCGUCAGGAAAUGAAUUUUCUAUCGUUUGUUCGAAAAAAAAAGAAUUAAUUGACAACUAAUUGAAUCACAUUAUUAUGCACGUGCGAAAAAACUUUUUUAUAACCGGUAAUACGUGCCUCUUAAUAUGUUUUGAACGUGUUUAAAAAUAGAGAAAAUAAUAUUUAAUAAACAAUCAGAUUAUUGCUAGUCUAUAAUGAGAUACUAUUUAUAUAGAGAAAAAAAAAAUUCUAUAAAAGGAAUUAGUUAUUAAAAAAAACACUGUUUAUAUGACGAAAUACCCCUACAUUAUUUGAUGCAUUAUUUUGGAUUGCUUUUGAUUUUUUGUUUGGAGGGCAUUUCUAUCCACCCAUCUUAACCAAAUUAACACUGCACUGAACUAUCAUUUUCGGUUGAACAAUCUAAUAUGAUAUCGACAAUUUUUUUUCAAUGUGGAAAAUAGGAAAAAGUUAUCACACAUUGAGUCCCGGUUUGAACUCGUCAAUCAAAUCCAACAAAUAGUGCCCACCCAUAAUCUAAAUCAAUCUCAACACGUUUAGUUUGCUCCAAAAUCUCAUAAACACCACUUGUAUUCUCAUUUUUGUUUUUUAACGGCAGAAGCAAUACCUGCGUGGUUUUUGUACCCAAGAACCAACACAGUGUAUGUGAUAUAUGUACUCAUGCAAAGCCACCUCAAAAUGGACAGGAGGGCUGGGGCAAGAAGGGCGUGAAGGUCUUAGUUCCUUUCCCUAUUUUUGUGUAUGAACAUGAUCAUCCAACUGCUAAGCCUUGGAGAUACUACCCUUGCCGUACCAAAAGAUCCAAACCAUAUGUAAGACUAAAAGUACACAAGUUUUCGAUUCAGAUAAUUUCAAUUGACCACCAUGAGGAAAAUGUCUCUUAAUGCCAUGGGAAAUAUAUAUGUUUCUUAAUAACGUUUGAUGAAGUCUCUUCAAAUAUAUUGAUUUCAUUUACGGAAUUGAUAACAAGAGGAACUCCAAAAAAAUUAUAAUACGAACUUACAGAAUUAUCAUUUGAAGACAAAAAUUUGUGAGCGACUCAAACUUGGACUUGCUGGUUACCACCACCAACAACAUCAUGCCCCCUCCAGUCCACUGUACCAGCUCAAUAAAGCACCAAGACAUGACAUUACCACUUAAACAUUUGACAUACUGGCAGAUGGGAGACGCUAUACACUGAAAAAGGAGCAUGUAUUCUUCUGUAAGUUGGCGCAUCCUAACGUAAAUUAUACAUGCUCCAAAAUAAACAAAAAACCAGCUUUCUGGAUUACAUUUAAAAUACGAUCUCGCAGGUAUAGGUUCAUAGCUAAUAUCUUAUAUCAUGCAAAAGUUUCAACAGUACCGUACACUGGAUCAGAAAAACUUCUAAGAACAACCAAACCCUGUACUAAAACAAAUGGAACCCUGGAGAUGCAACUUUGAGACGGUAUGCAAAUCUCUAUAGUCCUCACUUACAUGUUCAAGACAGAUAUGUCCAGGGAGCAAAUGGAAGAAAGUUUAACCUAUGCUCCCUCCCACCAUCCACACUCCCUUAGAACACCAUGUUUUGUAACCAAUCUAACCAAUUAUACGAUAUAUAUUAUCAAUUGGACAAUUGUAAGCUAAAUCCUACAGGCAAUAAUCAUUAUAACAGUGUCAAUUGAUGGUCAAGCAAUCUUCUGAGACAGAAAUAUGAAAAGCCAAACUCCGCCUAUAACCUCCUUUACUAUCCAUGAGAAGCAAGACAUUUUGGUGGUAAAUCAUUUUUCUAACCCGAAACCCUUCCCAAAAUGUUGAAAUUUCCAGGUUUUCAAGACAUGAAUAAUUGGUCACUUCCUUCACAUGAAAAAUUGGAUCUUGGUUAUAUAAGGCAUAGCUAGCAGCGAAGCAGCAAGUGGUAACCAAAGAAUACACACCCAAACCAAUAAAGUAAUUCCAACCAAUGAAAAUUAGCCGUAUACAAAUUCAUCAAUGAACUCCAUGGAAAGAACCAAAACAUAGAGUAGCGUAAAGGAGCACUUAAAUCCUAUGAAACUUUUAUCUACUAAGUAAAUUUUACCUGAAAUCAAUGUCACUAUUCCUUGUGUGCAAAUUGCAACCGGAUUUGUCUGCCAUCCAGAACCUGAAAAGAACACAAACAUGAAACAAUAAUACCACUUUUCAUUUCUAAGAAGGUAGCGGGCUGAUUUCAAGCUUUCCACACAUGCCAAUUACAAAGAAAUUAAUCAUGAUAGAUGAAACUACCUGACCAUCCAUCUCCUUGAGAGCAGUGGUGGCUUCACUUUCAGAAGUAAACUUCACAAAUCCAUAACCUCUCGAUUUCCCACUCACGUGAUCACAUAUAACUUUAACUGUUUAAUACGAUGACCCAAUUGCUCAAGUAAGUACAUGGUAUCAUUACAUCAUCCACAAGAAAAUAAAGAUCUACAAAUAUAACAACCACAAAGAGUUUAAUGUUACCUUCAAUUAUUUCACCAUGUUUUCCAAAAGCUUCCUUAAGAACAGGUUCGUUUGUAUCCCAGGAAAGUCCUGCAUAUUACAGACAACUUAAGCUGUAGUGUAAUUACAAUAUCAAAAGCCUUUGAAGUUAAAAUCCAAAAAUUCAAUGUUAUAUCUUUCAUCAACAAUUCAAAUACAAAUGCGAUAUUCUAAACUGCUCUUAUCUGCAGUGAAGGGGGUUCAAAUUCCGGUGCAAGAGUGCGGGCACACCGCCCGUUGCCAAUUCUGCAAACCCUUUAUAGUGAUUGAUUUAGCUAGUGAUAAGUUUUCAACCUGGGAUUGGCGGAGGUGGCUAGAGCAGUGCACUCCCCCUCUGCACCCAAGUUCGAGUUUUCUUCGACAGUUUAGAUGAAUUUAGCGUAAAUUAUCCGUAUUGUUUGUCCAAAAAAGAAGGCUUCGACCACAAAAUUUAACUCAAAUAAAAUGGACCCAGAAGAAAAUGAAAAACAAAACUCAAAAAGAAAUAAAACGGAGGAAAGGGAUAAGUUUGGCAGACCUGAAACGAACAAUUUUGGAGCAGGAGUGGCGAGUGAGUAAAAUCCUGGCCAAGACAGACAUGCGCAGAAUUCCAACUACGCCAUUUGCGCAUCUCAUUUCACCUUACCCUGCGCCGGUCUAUUGGGAAGAAGAUGGCUGCCAAACACCGCCGUCAUGAGCUUACUGAAGGCUCGUUUAUCCGGCUGUGGUUCAAGUAAAAUGAGCUAGGCGAGCUGGGUUUGCUGGGUUUGUUGGAGGAGAGAAAGGGCUUGCAAAUUUGGGCAAGGAAUUCUACCCAAAAACACCAAUUGUCAUUUAGUAUCAAGGAUUGGAUUGGGCUGAUCAACUCCAAAGGUGCAUUGAAAGUAAAGUUGGACGAAUUUUCAUUCUGAAGCGAUUAAAGUGAGAAAGAACUCACAAAUCCUAUCAUUUUAAGGAGGUGUCAAAAUGGUCCAUAAGUUUAACAUAACUCCUUACUUUAUUCUCUGAUAAUGAAAAUCAAUAGAAGUAGUCCAUGAAUUUAUCAAUAAAUUAUUUUGGUUCUUUUGUCAAUACAUUCAUUAAAUUGUCACAUUAAUAGCCACAUGAUGUGAUCACUUUUUACAGCAUUUUUGUUAACCCAACAUCUUAAUGGAAAUAUUGACAAGUUUUUCGUGAAAUAACCAAAAUAAUUUAUAAUAAAUAAACUCAAGAACUACUUUUAUCGAUUUCCAUCGUCAAGAAUCAAAAUAAGAAAUUAACCAAUUUCAUAAACUAUUUUAACUAAAAAAACCUUUUUUGGAUGAAUCUAGGGUUUUCCUGCACGUAGGCGAUGACUAAUCCCUUGAGCCAAGUCGAACCCCAUUCGGGAGCAAGAUCUCCCAAUGUUGACUUCUCCAUUCACAAGGCUCGAACUUGAGACUAGGCCUGGCAAACGGGUCGUGUCAGUCGUGUUCGUGUCGUUUUCGUGUAACACCUGUUAUCUUAAUGGGUCGUGUCGUGUCACACCCGUUAUCUUAACGGGUCCUUAACAGGUCGUGUCACUUUACCCAACGGGUAAAGUGACCCGACCCGUUAUGACCCGUUAUGACCCGUUAAGAAAAAUAUAUUUUUUUUCUUAAAUUUGCACAUACCACACAUUGCCACAUAAAUAUUACUUCAAAACAUUAAAACACAUUUGUCGUUUAAGUACUACAUCUACACUAAAAAAUAAGAGCCUAAUAAAAAAAUAAUACAUACACUACUAAUCUAUUACAAAUUUUAAAUGUGCAAGGAUAUGCAAAAUGAAACAGUUUUUGUUUUCAAGGUUGUGAAAUCUUUCUCAAAAGUUUAAACCUCAAUUUACAAAAUCCUCGAUUUACAUCGAUCAUCAUUAAAUUGCAUUGGAACUUUGGCUUGAUCUAUUGCCUUCAAGAGUUAUGUUGAUGAUAUUUUCAGUAAGGUUUUCCACGUCAUAACUAUCUUCUGCAUAAACUAAGCAUAGAAAAACCAAACAUUAAAAAUCAUUCAAAUUAUGAGAAGUUUACCAAAAUAAUUAUGAAAAAAAUAAAAACAAUAGUACUAUACCAUACUUUUAUUAAGUAUAAACAUAAGAUUUUGUGGUAUCCACUAAUGUAAAUAUUUUUAAAUUGAAGAUCGAAUUCAAUCAUUGUAUUCAUAUAAGGUCAAGGAGUGUAGUUCUAAACAAUCAUCAAAAUCGGAGUUAAAUUAACCGUUAAAUCGUGAUUUUUCGUGUAUAACCGUCGAAAAGUUUUGUCCCGUUACUUGCUCUCUGAAUGUUUUUGUUUUUGCAAUUUUUGGCGUAUGCGAUCUCGAAAUAUAUAUAAACAUGUUUGACGGUUGGAUCAUUGAAACUAGUUUCGUAGAAUGAGUAUCCCAUUAAAACAAUAGAUUCACUAAUACUUAAGAGUUUAUUCAUACUUUUAUUAAGUAUAACAUAAGAUUUUGUGGUAUCCACUAGUGUAAAUAUUUUAAAUUGAAGAUCGAAUUCAAUCAUUGUAUUCAUAUAAGGUCAAGGAGUGUAGUUGUAAAAAAUCAUCAAAAUCGGAGUUAAAUUAACCGUUAAAUCGUGAUUUUUCGUUAUAACCGUCGAAAAGUUUUGUCCCGUUACUUGCUCUCUGAAUGUUUGUUUUUUGCAAUUUUUGGCGUAUGCGAUCUCGAAAUAUAUAAAAAUAUGUUUGACGGUUGGAUCAUUGAAAUUAGUUUCGUAGAAUGAGUAUCCCAUCAAAACAAUAGAUUCACUAAUACUUAAGAGUUUAUUCAUACUUUUAUUAAGUAUAACAUAAGAUUUUGUGGUAUCCACUAGUGUAAAUAUUUUAAAUUGAAGAUCGAAUUCAAUCAUUGUAUUCAUAUAGGGUCAAGGAGUGUAGGUGUAAAAAAUCAUCAAAAUCGGUGUUAAAAUGACCGUUAAAUCGUGAUUUUUCGUUUAUAACCGUCGAAAUAUUUUGUCCCGUUACUUGAUCUCUGAAUGUUUGUUUUUUGCAAUUUUUGGCGUAUGCGAUCUCGAAGUAUAUAUAAACAUGUUUGACGGUUGGAUCAUUGAAACUAUUUUCGUAGAAUGAGUAUCCCAUCAAAAUAAUAGAUUCACUAAUACUUAAUAGUUUAUUCAUACUUUUAUUAAGUAUAAUAUAAGAUUUUGUGGUAUCCACUAGUGUAAAUAUUUUAAAUUGAAGAUCGAAUUCAAUCAUUGUAUUCAUAUAAGGUCAAGGAGUGUAGCUGCAAAAAAUCAUCAAAAUCAGAGUUAAAAUGACCGUUAAAUCGUGAUUUUUCUUUUUUAUAACCGUCGAAAAGUUUUUGUCCCGUUAAUUGAUCUCUGAAUGUUUGUUUUUUGUAAUUUUUGACGUAUGCGAUCUCGAAGUAUAUACAAACAUGUUUGACGGUUGGAUCUUUGAAACUAGUUUCGUAGAAUGAGUAUCCCAUCAAAACAAUAGAUUCACUAAUACUUAAUAGUUUAUUCAUACUUUUAUUAAGUAUAAACAUAAGAUUUUGUGGUAUGCACUAGUGUAAAUAUUUUAAAUUGAAGAUCGAAUUCAUUACCUGUAUUCAUAUAGGGUCAAGGAGUGUAGUUGUAAAAAAGCAUCAAAAUCGGAGUUAAAAUAACCGUUAAAUCGUGAUUUUUCGUUUAUAACCGUCGAAAACUUUUGUCCCAUUACUUGAUCUCUGAAUGUUUGUUUUUUGCAAUUUUUGGCGUAUGCGAUCUCGAAGUAUAUACAAACAUGUUUGACGGUUUGAUCAUUGAAACUAGUUUUGUAGAAUGAGUAUCCCAUCAAAACAAUAGAUUCACUAAUACUUAAGAGUUUAUUCAUACUUUUAUUAAGUAUAACAUAAGAUUUUGUGGUAUCCACUAGUGUAAAUAUUUUAAAUUGAAGAUCGAAUUCAAUCAUUGUAUUCAUAUAGGGUCAAGGAGUGUGGUUGUAAAAAAUCAUCAAAAUCGGAGUUAAAAUGACCGUUAAAUCGUGAUUUUUCGUUUAUAACCAUCGAAAAGUUUUGUCCCGUUACUUGCUCUCUGAAUGUUUGUUUUUUGCAAUUUUUGGCGUAUGCGACAUGUUUGACGGUUGGAUCGUUGAAAUUAGUUUCGUAUAAUUCGUAUCCCAUGAAGUUCAAUAGUGUGUGUGUGUGUGUAUAUAUAUAUUUAUUUAUUAAGUAGAUUUAAAUCUAUUUAUUUUGUAUGUAUAAUUAUUAUAGUUUUUAGGGGUAUAAAAUUUAAUAUAUAUAUAUAUAUAUAAUUAUUAUAGUUAAUAUUUUGGGUAUAAUUAUUAUAGUAUAUAUAAUUAUUAUAAUUAUUAUAGUUAAUUUAAUAUAUAUAUAUAUAUAUAUAAUUAUUAUAGUUUUUAGGGGUAUAAAAUUGUUAAAUUAAUAUAUAUAUAUAAUUAUUAUAGUAUUUUUUUAGGGUUAUAAAUUAUUAAAUUAAUAUUCUGCUUAUCGUGUAUCGUGUUACCCACGUGUAUACCCGAACAAACCCGUUAUCUUAACAGGUGCUUAUCGGGUUACCCGAUAAUAACCCGUUUCGUUAUCGUGUCGACCCGAACACCUGUUAAUUUCGUGUCGUGUCGUGUCGGGUUAUCGGGUCGUGUCAGGAAUUGCCAGGCCUGCUUGAGACCUUGCUUAAGAAGAACAAACUUCUUAACACUUGAACCACCAAGCAUUGGUACUAAAAAAAACCUUUUGACAACACUAGAAAUGAUAAAAUUCCUACAUGAGUAAUACAUCUUCAACCUCAAAGAUGAAAAUAUUUUUAUCAUUUCCGCCAUCAACAAACCUUGAAUAUAACCAGAGACAUAGAGUAGAAUUAUCUCCCUUCUUUUAUUCACGUCCCUCUUAUUUGAACAAAAUUACAUCAAUAUUUUAUAUUAAUUUUUUGUAAAGAAAAAAAAAAGACAAAAUAAAUAAUGUAAAAAGAGAAAAUGAAGAAGGAUGGAAAGAGAAAGAAAGAAAAUCCUAAUCCUAUGACAAGUUACUCAGUAAUCAACUAGUUUGAGUUAUUCAAUCAACUCCUUAACAAACCUUGAAUAUAACAAAGUUACGCAGUAAUCAACCAGAUUGACUUAUUCAAUCCACUCAAAUCAGCGCAAGUGAUUAAGAGUUAAGAAAGGUGCUAAAUAAGGCAAAGGGAAUAUGGCAUAAAACAGGAAAUCAUAUGCCUGAGAAAAGCAAAAAGGAGGUUCCUUUCUUCAAAAGCAUUCGAUAAAGCAACCCAUCAACAAAUAGCACCUCAAAUCAAAGGGAAUAAGAGAAUCUCACAUCUCAUCAUACACACAUACCAAACGGAAGUAAUGCCAGAAACAAGGGGUUUCAUAAAUGGAUUCCAACAAGAUCAAUAAACCUAAAACUUGAACAUCAUCAUCACAUAAGAUUAUUGGAAUUUCAAGUCUUGGUAUCUCUUUUCCCUACAACCAACAAAGACAUAGACCUGCAUACAGAUUACAUACAAAUGGGGAGGGUCACGAACUAAAUCUAAACAUGGAGGUUUGAUUCAUAAAAAGCUAAACAUUUGGUGGGUUGAUUUGAUGGAGAAACCUAAGCCUUCUUGGGAGACUUGG